UGCUAAAUUCUAGUGGCUGCUUAUUGUGUUAGUUAUUCUAUAGUUUGAAGCAUUGUAUCUCUUAUGUUGUCAAUUUUGAUUAAAAACUACAUGUCAUUAAAAAAAUAUAGGAUAGACUAGAUCAUACAGGUUGCUCCAAGGCACUUCAAUAAUUUUGCUUGACAUUGAGUUGACAUGGGAAAUAAUUCUUCUGUUGUCACUUAAACUAUUGAUACUGUUGGGGAUAUAACUAUUUGUGUAAGCCGCCCAGGAGGGGCCGGGUUAUGCAAAGAGGAUUCACCAGAAAGAAGCCCAAGACCAAGGCAUGAAGAUGGCGGUUCAUAGGAAGCUUAAGGCCCACAGGCGACUUACGGCCCGUUGUAAUAAACCGCUAUAAUAAUAUUACUUGUAUCAUAAGGUAGACUUAACUAGUCACCGAGCCAGACAUUGUUUAUAAGCCGGCCGGGACUCUGUAAGCCGCAGGGCGUCCACCCGUGUAUAUAAGGGGACGACCCGCUGGCGGCUUAGGGCAAGAAACAACUCAUCGAGAGCCAGGCAUAGCGUAUCUCGCUCCCUGGUCAUCAAAACAUCAAUACCAACCCAACUAGAUGUAGGCCUUACCUUCACCGUAAGGGGCCGAACUAGUAUAAAACCCCUCGUGUCCUUUGUCCCGAUUAACCCCUUCAAGCUUCCUAGUUCUGAUGGCUCCACAACUAAGUCCUUUCACGAGGACAUUUGACGUGACAAUUCUACGACAGUUGGCGCCCACCGUGGGGCCAGCGCACGGUGGAUUUGAGUUCUUGAAGGGCAACUUCGAAGGGCUCAAGGGAUACGUAGUAGGGUUUCCUUUUCUUCUUUGUUGAGUCAUAGAAACCACCAUACUGUUAAGUGGGGUCCAAGUGAACAAAGUCAGAGUGACUGAAGUGAUGCUCAACCCAAAUCCUAUGUCUUCGAGCAAAGACAAUGAGAGCAAAUCUUAUCCAGAACUGGAUGAGUCAGCUUUGCUUGUAGCCCAAGUAAAGUUGCCGUGUGUGUUUGAAAUCUGACCGUUGGAACACGUGUCAGUUCCAUAGUGACCCAGGGUCAUUUCGGACAUAUUAGGUCGGGUUGCCUUGUGGCUAUAAAUAGCCCACCCCCUACACCAUAAAUGGUGACUGCUCAGAGUUAGUUUACGGCUUUCGUCGUUUUGAGAGCAACCCACCUCGAAGCCUUUGAGAGAGAAAUCCUUGCGAGGACAAAGCCCAGACACCCAGAGCCAAAGAGUGUUAGGCAUCACUGAAGUCUUUCUAUCUGUGUGACCUGAAGACUUAUUACACUUGAGGACUGUGUAUCCUCCAGCCGGUUAGGCGUCGCGUUCUGAGCAUCCAAGAGUCAUUGUGGAUUGCCGGUGAACGAAGUCUGUGAAGGUUCGGAAGUCUACCUUGAAGACUUACCAGAGUGAUUGGGCGGGGACUGUGUGUCCUUAUCUCAAGGGGAAUAAGGUGAAGACGCGGUCUUCUGAGUUGAAUCUCAGCCUCCCUAACCAGACGUACAGUUGUCACAGCAACUGGAACUGGUCCAACAAAUCAUGUGUCUUCAACAAGUGAUUGGUUCUAUCUCUUCCCUCCUUUACUUUGAGUAUGUCUUCGUGAAGUCAUUGCUUAUUUGUCUUAUCUGUUUGACUUCAUUGCUUGACUACUAUCGUUGAUUGGCUUCGUACUAUCUUCCAUCCUGAUCCUUACUACCUAGCUGCUAAUAGUCCUUGUAUGUUCACUUUAUUGCAUACUUGACUACGGCUUGCUUGUUGUAGUUUAUCUUCCGCUGCAUAUCAAUUAGGUUAUUUCUAUUGUUUGUCUUUGAAACUUCCACGUUUUGAAGACUUUGAUAAAAAUCGCCUAUUCACCCCCCCUCUAGUCGAUAACUAGCACUUUCAAUUGGUAUCAAAGCAAGGUACUUCCUUGUUCUGUGUGAUUCGGUUUAACCACCUGGAGUUUAGCUAUGUCGACUGCAGGGAUAAUCAAAGUCUCCGCUGCUUGCCCCGUGUUCGAUGGAACUGAAUAUCCCUACUGGAAGAAUUAGAUGCGCAUGCAUCUUGAAGCCAUUGAUGUCGACCUCUGGUAUGUCGUCAAGAACGGCGUUCCAAAAACUGGUGAAGGUGUCACCCCUGCUGAUGUCAAGAAGUUCAUUCAACUGGACUCGACUGCAAAGAACAUCAUCUGUGGUCUUCUGACCAAAGGACAGUAUGGCCGUGUGAGUGCUCUGGAAACGUCAAAGCUAGUCUGGGACUGGCUAUCCAAGGUCAACAAAGGCGUCUCUACACGGAGAGACCAGAGGAUCAGUGUUCUUUGCAAUCUCUUCAACCGCUUCAAGAGAAAUGACAAUGAAAAUGUCCAGCUCACGUUUGAUCGCCUCACCGACAUCACGAAUGAGCUUCAGGCUCUCGGCGCCACUGAGAUCACUAAGCAUGAAAUCGUCAAGAUGCUGCUGAGAUCUCUUGACAGCUCCUUUGACACCCUUGCCCUCAUGAUACAAGAACGUCCUGACUUCAAGACUCUCGAUCCGUCUGAUAUACUUGAGAGGCUCAACACACAUGAGUUCCAGCUUUCUGAGAAAAGAGAUAUCUAUGGCCCCAACUAUGGCCGAACUCGUGCUUUGAAGGCAAAAGUUGUUUCCUCAUCUGAAGAAGAAUCUGACUGCGGUUCUGAUGAUCAUGAAGACAUUGGAAGGGAACUUGCUAUGCUUGUGAAGAAGUUCCAGAAAUUCACCAAGAAGAAGGGCUUCAGAAAGUCUUCACGAUCCAGUUCAAGAAAUGAUGAAGCUUCCACUCAAGACAACAAGAAGAGAACAUGUCACAAGUGUAAGAAGCCUAGGCACUACAUCUCUGAGUGUCCUCAGUGGGACAAUGAGAAGAAGAAGAAGAAGAGCAAGGAAUAUGACUCUGAUGACAAGAAGAAGAAGAAAUCAUCAAAGUCUUCUUCCAAAUCCUCAUCAAAGUCUUCAUCUCAUAAGAAGAGCUGAUCUGGCAAGGCUCGUGCGUUUGUUGGCAAGGAAAUGGAUUCAGAAGAGGAGUCUGCUUCUGAGGAAGCGGAGGUGGAAUCUGAAGCUGAGUCCGACUCUGGCGUUGCAAGUCUGGCUCUAGCCACAGCCUACGUUGCCAAGUCCAUCUUCAACUCUGAAGACAAUGACUCCCACACCAACACUGACGAUGACAAGGACGAUCCUGCUCUCACCUACUGCUUCAUGGCACGCAGUGCCAAGGUAAAAUCACGCGAUGCUUACUUUCAAACAUCAAUUGAAGAUGACUCUGAUUGUGAAUCUAAACCCAACUACAAAACACUUGCUAAAAUUGCUACUGAACAACAAAGGGCUAUGGAACAUACUCAAAAACUGUUAGACAAAAGCGAUGACCUGUUGGACGCGGAAAUGACAUGUUCACAGUCCUUAGUUGAAGACAUAAAAAAUCUUCAUGCUAAGUAUCAAGAACUUGAAAGUCUUCAUGAGACGCUCUCAACCACUUAUGAAAAGCUCUCCUAUGAUUAUCUUCAAAGGAAGCAAGAGCUUGAGAAAUUGAAAGCGACUCAUGAAGAUCUUCAAAAAGAGAAUGAGUCAUUUCGCGCUCAACAGAUCAGUUCCACUCAAGAUGGAUUUGAACCACCAUGUUUAAAAUGCAUCGAGCGUGAUAACACUGCCUCUGUUGCUGAAUGUUCCAAUGCUGCUACUGUUGCUUUGUCUUCAACUACUGAUGUGGAAACUAACCCCUCUACUGAGGAUACCACUACUAUUGCUGAUGAAAAUGCUAGGUUGAAGACAUUGCUUGAAACAGGGAUGUAUAAAAGUCUGAAAGGGCAUCAGACACUUUGUGAUGUCCUCAAAAAGCAGAUUCUGAACCGAAACCCUAGGAAAGAGGGUGUUGGGUUCGAGAGGAAAAUGAAUGCUGAUGGUUCCUACUGGAAGCCUGAGCAGUAUCCCAAAACCACAUGGGUUGCUGCAAAGGAACCUUUAGUGGAUCCAUCCACUUUAUCUGGCAUUACCUGUGCUAAUCCUAUUAUCAUUGAUGAAUCCUUUGAUGCAAACUAUAAACUGUUCAAAAAUCAGAAUGGUGAAGUGUUUGCCAGGUAUAUUGGUACUAACUGCAGGAAUGGACCACCUAUGAAGAAGAUCUGGGUUCCCAAAAGCUGUCUUAAGAAUCUUCCAGUGAAUGUCAUCAUGACACCACCUGGGAAGAAGACAAACCCCAGACCAAAGGCAUCAUAUGGUCCAACGGCUUCAUACGAAUACAGGACUCGCUUGAGUCACCCUAACGCCAAUGUUUUGCAGGGAAAUAGUACUCAAACUUAUGAAUAUGAACGUGUGUCCUCAAACCGCCAUGUUCAUAGGACUAAGAACUUUUCUGCUUAUUCAUAUGAGUAUCGUUCAUCUCCUGCAAGGCUAUUUGCUAGGGCUUCAAAACCGAAAUUCUCAGAUGCUGCACUUAGACUCAUUGCUUCUAAGCCACCCCUGAAGAUGUGGGUGGUGAAGAAGAAUUAACUCUCUUUUGCAGAAUAUGGUCUCCAGCCAGCAAUCAAAGGCGUCCGAUAUUAUUGCUGGGGACCUAAAACACAAAGGGACGCAUGAUAAAAUGACUUACUAUGUAUUCCACAUAUGAAUCGCUUACCUGUCAUACUAUGUGCUAACUUUCAUCUAAGCUGUGAUAAUCCAAGUGUGCGUCAAAUGCUUAUGCUUCACAACAUACCUUGUGAAGCCUAUCCUCCUAACUGCAUUGUAAGGUAUGACACCUUGUGCUUCAGAAUGGAUUAUGGACAGCGGAUGCACUAAUCAUAUGACUGGUGAUCGAAGUCUUCUCAUAGACUCAACCUUACGUCCAUCCGACAAGAGUCAAAUCACAUUUGCUGACACUCGUAAAGGCAAGGUAUUGGGUCUAGGUAGAGUUGCAAUCUCAAAGGAUCAACACAUGGAUAAAGUGAUGCUUGUUGAAUCCCUUGGAUUCAACUUAAUGUCUGUCUCAAUGCUUUGUGACUUAAACAUGAUUGUGAUAUUUGGAAAAUAUCGUUGCCUUGUACUAAUGGAAUCUGACAAGUCUCUAGUCUUUGAAGGGUAUAGGAAAGGUGAUCUAUACAUGGUAGAUUUCUCAGUAGGUCCACAGCUUGCCGUAUGUCUUCUUGCAAAAGCUUCAGAAUGUUGGCUCUGGCAUCGAAGGCUGGGGUAUGCUGGCAUGAGGAACUUACACACUCUCGUCAAGAAGAAGCAUGUCAUAGGCAUCGAAGGUGUCAAGUUCAAGAAAGAUAAUUUGUGUGGUGCCUGCGAAGCUGGAAAGAUGACGAGGGCCAAGCAUCCCUCAAAGACAAUCAUGACGACAUCUCAACCCUUUGAGCUGUUGCACAUGGACUUAUUUGGCCCUACCCACUACUCUACCCUCAAAACAACAACGUGUCUCUAUGGCUUUGUCAUUGUUGAUGACUACUCAAGAUAUACAUGGGUGCACAUAAUUCUCUACAAGACUGAAGUACAAGAUGUCUUCAGACAAUUCGCCAAUUGAGCAAUGAACAACUAUGGUGUCAAGAUCAAGCAUAUCAGAAGUGAUAACGGCACUGAAUUCAAGAACACCAGGCUUGAUCUCUAUCUGGAUACAAUGGGAAUCACUCAUGAGUUUUCCGCUCCAUACACACCUUAGCAAAAUGGCAUUGUUGAGCGCAAGAACAGAAUCCUCAUUGAGAUGGCUCGAACAAUGCUCGACGAGUACAAGACACCAAGAAAGUUCUGGCCUGAAGCUAUUGAUACAGCAUGUCACAUCAUCAACCGUGUUUACAUCCACAAGCUUCUGGGCAAAACAUCCUAUGAGCUCCUUACUGGCAAGAAGCCAAAUGUCAGCUACUUCAGAGUCUUUGGUGCUAGGUGCUGGAUCAAGGAUCCCCAUCACAAGUCAAAAUUUGAACCCAAAGCUCAUGAAGGCUUCAUGCUCGGCUAUGGAAAGGAUUCACACUCUUACAGAGUCUUCAACCUCUUCCACUACAAAAUCGUUGAAACUAUGGACGUGUGAUUUGAUGAAACCAAUGGUUCACAACGAGAGCUCCUGCGAAGCACAUUAGAUGAAGCUCCUUCCAGCGAAUCUAUCAAGCUGAUGGGAACUGGUGAAAUCAUGCCCUCUGAAGCACAGCCUGAAGAGGAACUUAUCAUUUCUGCACCAAACCAACCCGAAGACAAUGCUCAGACCGAAGACAAUCCUCCCAAUGAUGACAAUGAUCAGCAUGAGCAAGGGAUUCAUCCAGUUCAUCCUCGUGUUGCAAAUGAAGUACAAAUUGAGAAGAUAAUUGAUAGCAUCAAUGCACCUGGUCCGCUUACUCGCUCAAGAGCAACACAGUUAGCAAAUUUCUGUGGGCACUUUUCAUUUGUAUCAAUAACUGAACCCAAGAAAGUUGCUGAAGCCUUUAUGGAACCUGAAUGGAUUCAAGCCAUGCAAGAAGAACUUCAACAGUUCAAGCUGAAUAAUGUUUGGGAACUUGUCAAGCGCCCUGACCCUCGUAAACAUAACAUUAUUGGCACUAAGUGGAUAUAUCGGAACAAACAAGAUGAGCAUGGUCAAGUUGUCAGAAACAAAGCAUGUCUUGUGGCUCAAGGAUAUACUCAAGUUGAAGGAAUCGACUUUGAUGAAACAUUUGCUCCGGUGGCUAGGCUUGAAGCUAUUCGCAUACUGCUAGCCUAUGCUAAUCACCACAACAUCUUGCUAUAUCAAAUGGAUGUGAAGAGUGCUUUCCUCGAUGGCAAGAUUGAAGAAGAAGUGUAUGUUGCUCAACCACCUGGUUUUGAAGAUCCAAAAUAUCCUGAUAUGGUGUACAAACUAAACAAAGCACUAUAUGGCCUCAAAAAAGCUCCUCGCGCUUGGUAUGAUACAAUCAAAGACUUCCUGAAGAGCAAAGGCUUCAAACCAGGAUCCCUAGAUCCCACACUCUUCACGAAGACAUAUGAUGGUGAACUGUUUGUAUGCCAAAUAUAUGUGGAUGACAUAAUCUUCGACUGCACCAACCAGAAGUAUAGUGAUGAGUUUGGAUACAUGAUGCAAGAGCAAUAUCAGAUGUCCAUGAUGGGUGAGCUGAAGUUCUUCCUUGGUCUUCAAAUUCGUCAGCAAAGAAAUGGCAUCUUCAUUUCUCAAGAAAAAUAUCUCAAAGAAUGUAUGAAGAAGUUCGACAUGCAAGAUUGCAAAGGUUACACGACGCCAAUGCCAGCCAAACAUCAUCUUGGUCCCGACGACAAUGGUAAAGAGUUCGAUCAAAAGGUAUAACGCUCCAUGAUUGGUUCUUUACUUUACCUAUGUGCAUCUAGGCCAGAUAUUAUGCUUAGUGUUUGCAUGUGUGCUCGAUUCCAAGCGGCGCCAAAGGAAUCGCAUCACUUAGCCGUGAAGCGAAUUCUUAGAUAUUUGGCUUACACCCCAACACUCGGAUUAUGGUAUCCAAAGGGCUCAAGAUUUGAUCUGGUUGGAUUCUCGGAUGCUGAUUAUGCUGGUGACAAGGUGGAUCGCAAAUCUACAUCAGGAACAUGUCACUUUCUGGGACGAUCACUUGUCUGUUGGUCUUCAAAGAAGCAAAACUUUGUAUCACUCUCAACUGCUGAAUAUGAAUACAUUGCUGAUGGAUCUUGUUGUGCUCAGCUUCUAUGGAUGAAGCAAACUCUCAAGGACUAUGGCAUCAAUCUGAAGCAAGUCCCUCUCUUCUACGACAACGAAAGCGCCAUCAAGAUUGCCAACAAUCCAGUUCAGCACUCAAAGACAAAGCACAUUGAAAUUCGUCAUCAUUUUCUCCGAGAUCAUGUCAUGAAGAAAGAUAUUGACAUCAUUCACGUCAACACUGAAGAGCAACUGGCAUAUAUCUUCACAAAGCCCUUGGAUGAGAAAAGGUUUUGCAAGUUAUGGUGUGAGCUAAAUAUCUUGGAAUCCUCAAAUGUCCUGUGAUCAGGAACACAUCCUAACACUUAUGCAGGUUGAUGACUUAGAUGUGCAACACACGAAGUAAAGUAUAUCUUCAAUCAAUGAAGACUUACAUUCUGAGUGUGAAUACAUUAACAUGGAAUUUGACUUCGGAGCGCCACGAUAAUUGUGCGCCGUGUCUGGGUCUAAUACUUCCUAUACGGUGGGUAACGCCACCACCAAAUUUCUUGGUUUGAAGUGUUUCACUCAUGGCGUUAUUGUUGAAUACAUUCGCAUUUGAUUUGUCUUCAACUUUCAACUUAUCUUCAUGAUUUACUUCACUAUGUUGAGUUGAUUGCUUUCCAAUAUAUAUAUAUAUACACACACUAGUUUUCUGUCCUCUGCAGCAUUCACUUAUAGCUAUGUCUUCAUUGUUGAAUCUCUUGAACUAAGUGAAUGUGAUCGGACCCUAAUCUUUCUAUGCUUUUUAUCUCAAACUCUAUCUGUCCAAAUCAUAUGCACUCUAUUGAAACUGUCGAAUGUCUUCUCUGCAUCCUUGUCAGCAGAAGACACAGAGACAAACAUUAAGUCCUUUUAAAUGAUUCAUCUUUAUUGUUGAAAUCCAGAGAAGCCAGAAUGACCAUCCGACAAACUUGGCGGGCGUGGGAACGUGGGACAACUCUGAGUAUGUUGCAUGCUUUCCACGUGUCCCUCAGAUGUGAACAGGCAGGGGCACCUGCGUAAUUGCGCUGUGCCGCACACCUUCUUAUAAAUACGUGCCCCCUGCGGUCAAGAAAACCUUCUUCCACCUAUCCACCUCGUCAAAACCCUAGCACCACCGCUAGCUCUCGACGACGCCGGCGACGAAGCGCUUAGCUGCCGCGACUUCUCCGACGCCGUCCUCACGCCGGCCGCAGGCAUCAUCCUCUCCGCCACCGCCGUAGGUGUCCUCCGUCGCCAAGUUAGGGCAUGGUGGAUUAAACUGCUCGGUCUCCUUUCAUCCCAUCUAGCAGUUCAUCGUGUGGUAAAUAUAACUCUAUUUUUACCAUCUUUUUGAUCCUCAAUGAUUCAUCCAAUUUACCAAAAUUGGUUUCUGUCUAUACAGAAUUAGAUCUGCUCUGUCUGCAUCUCAUACUGCCUAGUAUAUUCACUUAAGCUUCAUAUCUAGUUAGAUUCCUCACUUGUACUUAUUCACGGAUUCGUACAAAUCUGGAACCGACUCUCAACAUAUAAGUGAAUGUCUUCGCAACAUGAGGUCAAUGUCUUCAAACUGAUUUAUCUUCAAACUCUUCUGAGAAUGCAUAUGACCUCUUCCCCUUCCCUCGCAUCUCUAGUGCUGUCACAGGUACAUGUCCGUGGGAGAAUCCCUAGGUUCUCAUAGUCUGCAUUCGUUUGCAGAAUUCUUACAGAAACACAUUGAAUCUCCCGAAGCCAGUUCCUGUCUGACCAGCAAGCGAAAGCCUUUGAAGCCUUUGAACAUAUUGAAACCAUUCAAUUUGAAGUUCAUGGAUAUGGAGAAAUCUGUAAGGAAGGGUGGCAGACAGCGUCGAGGGGGAACAUCAAAGGAUCUGCCUGAUGAUCUUGCAGAAAUCUACAAAACAGAUCCUGAAGAGGAUUAUAAUCAGCGCAAGACACGAAUCCAAUGGAUUCGACGCUAUUGGGCUGAACAAUGGUUCAAGUACAAAUUCGUGACCCAGGAGUACGCUGAGAAGAAUGCUAUCAAGAGUCCUUGGGGUGAUAUUCUCUAUCGAGGCCUUCCCCCCAAGAACAAAACUGAAGCCAUUGCACAAGAAUUCUAUCCUUGCAUGGUCCGUGGACCACAGCCUGAAGAUGCUGACCCAUCAUCAUUGCUCUGGUGUCGUGACGACAAUCUCUUCAAGCGCAACUUCCAGUAUGCUAAGGCUUCAGCAAAGGAAAACAAGAAGUCAUGGGGAUUAGACUUCAAUCCUGGUCCCUCUGCUCCCCGUGAUGAUGGCACACGUGAAGCUGAAGAAAAUAGAAUUGGCCCCUUUGCAAACCUUGAUGGCCUCAUCUCAUACGUCAUGGUACAAGGUGCCAAAGUCGAUCGUUCUGAUAAUGAUGCUGAUUCUGAUGAAGCCCCAGCUCCUCCUCCAAGGCCGCAGAAGCCAAAGAAGAUUAAGGCUUCAACAUCAGCUGCACCUUCAAAAGCUUCUCGUGUGAAGCCACUGGCCACUGCACCUCCUGAAGACAGUGUGCAGUCUGAAGAUCUUUCACGCAUCUCCAAGAAGACGGAGAAGAAAAAGAAAAUCAUAAAGAGUACUGAUCAAGCUUUGACUCCUGCUGCCAUUCUGUGUGAAGAGCACAUUGAUCUGUCCAGCGAUGACGAUCUUGUAGAUGAUGCUCUUGAGCAACUAAUCAAGAGCAAGGAAGAAGCAGAGAUCUUCAACAACUUGCCUCUCUUUGAUGUGGCAAUCAUCCAUAACUUCAUUGAUGAGUGGUUUGACACACCAAAUCUCAGCUUUGAUGACUUGCAACUUCCAAUUGGCCUCAGCGUCGCCUUCAAUGGCGCCAUUGCUUCUGAGCUAGCUAUUGCUCAGCGCAUCGUCGAAUUGAAGCACAAGAUUGACUAAGAAAAGGCUUAGUUCAAGAAGCAUGUGGCCACGCUCAACGUGCAAGAUGUCAAGAACUUCAAGAUCAUGCUGCACGAGCUCAAAGAAGCCUUUCAUAAGAAGCGUGAAGAAGCUCGAGGCUCCAGAGAGCGCAUGAAAAAUCUGGCUGACAAGUGUGUGCUUGCCUACAAUGAGGCUGAGAAGCGCAAGGCUCUUGGUCGUCCUGACAUUGACCCCAGGAUGGCUACAAAGAAGAAGAAAUCGACUAUCCAAUCUGCACCUUCAAGGCAAGAUGAAUCUCACAUUGUCUUCCCAAGCAGCAUGACUAGCUCGAAGCCAAAAGUCACGUCAACCGCUUUAGAACAGAAGAAGACGAGGGCUGCAGAGGCUGAAGCCAGAAAACGGAAAACCUCAGAAGCCUUUGAUGCUGCUCCCUCCAAGAAGAAGCGCAAGACCAAGAAAAAUCGGGCUGCUCCCACAGAGCCCCUUGUUGUUGAACCCAUCUCAGUGGUUCGUCCUGCAUCUGCAACCCAAGAACUUUGAAUGACUGUCCAUGAGCCUGCUUCUGUAGAGGCUCCUGAAGCUGAAGAGAUUCUAGCAGUUGAUCCCAUCACUGUUGAAGACAUUGGUCACCAUGACAAUGUUGAAGAUGAUGAAGUUCUUCCUCAAAUUGAAUACAAUGUGGUAUCAUCGCCUGUUCUCACGAACAGCGAAAUCAUCAGCAUUGGUCGUCCUCUGACGCCAAUUGCUCAGGAUGCUUCAUGGGCUGAUCGCCCGCAACAACAAGACUCCCCCAGUACUCCCCAAUAACAAGUCACACCAUCUGUGCAAGUUGAAGAGGAUGAGGACCUGCCUACUCCAUCUCCAAAGGCGUCGCUUGUAUUACAAAGGCUUCGCAAAGGACCAAGGCCUCAAGUCCCUCUUCCGAGCAUUCCAGAAGGAGAAGUGCACCAUCAACCUAUUGCACGUCAAGUGUUUUCAGAAGCCACUCCAACUGUGAAUGUCUCCGUGUCUGAAGCCCCAGCUGCUAAAGACAAUCCGGCUGCAUCAACCGAUGACGAACUUCAAGAAGAACGUGUCCCUACUCCCCCCAUUCCUGAAGAAGAUGUUCAUGAUGUGAACGUGUCUGUGCCUGACCCUCCAACUCAUCAAGUGGAGGUUGAAAACCUUAAGGCUGCCACCACCAACACCAAUGAAGCCGAUGACAUAGUCAUGGCUGAAGCUUAUGUGGAGCCUGUCCCAAGCCCCAUACCAGAAGUCAAUGCUGAAAAUGCUCCUGAAGCUUCUGUUGUGCAGCCUGAAGCCACUGUUGCUGCCACUGCUCCUGUUCCGCCACCAAGGCCCUAUACAAUUGAGCAAGCAUACAACCAUGGCGACCUAAUCACAGUAAGAUGGCCCGUUCUGGUACCUCCACCUACUGUCUCUGGUCCUCAGUUUGAUUAUCACAUUGAGCAUAGGCCUCCAGUCCAGAAGCCAAAGCCAAGACUACCAAGGUUUCCAGGUACUGCCACAUCUGUCGGGUCCUUCAAUGCAAAUGGCUUCAAAAGCCACAACACAUUCUUUGACAGUUCAAAGAACCCCUACACAUAGCCAAGAAUAUCAUCAGAUCGUUUCUGGAGCCAUCAGCAGCGAAGUUAUUACUCCUGUGUUCUGUAUGAUCAAGGGCGCAUUUUCCCUCAUAUGCGCCUUAACACUGAAGCCAUUGCCGAACUCCCAUGCUUAGAAGAAGCACUUGACUGCUUCCGUGAUGCUAGUCUGCUCAGCUUUGUGACAGACAAAGAACAUUGGAAUGAAGAGCUAUUGCUUCAAUUCUAUGCUACGCUCCACAUUCGCGGUUAUAACAGAGAUACGAAGACAUGGGUUCUCGAGUGGAUGACAGGAAAUGUUCAUCAUGAAGCCAAAGCUCUUAACAUCAUUGAGCUUAUAGGCCUAUCCACUCUCGGAGAGCUAUAUGAACCUGGUUGUCAAAACCACUGCAAUGCACUGGAGAGCAUCUUCCAUAAGCCUGAACCCAAUAUGAGCCAGAUGUUGAGCAUGAUGAAGCCAUUGCCUCAUGACGCUGAAUACCCAAAGGAGUUCUUUGUUGAUGACCUGGAGUAUCUGCCGCGCACCAUAUAUCACAUCAUCAGGCGUACUCUAUGGCCUAUCAAAGGACAUUCAUCAGCUGCAAAACUUGAAGGAGCCAUGAAGACAUUGGUCUUUUACAUCCUCAAUGGCAUCAGCUUCAAUGCGCAAGAUUUCUUCAUCAGGCAACUGGAUGCAUCUGGAUCUAACCUCUUCGGACUGAAAUUCUAUGCUCCAUGGGUCAUGCGCCUCAUUAAGCAACAUUUUGCUGUCAACUAUCAACCCUCUGCUCGCAAUCAUGUGAUCUUUCUACCAGAGGUUGAUAUGUCAGUUGAAGCCAUAUACCCUGAACCUGCCAAAAAGCCUAUUUGUAUUCAAAAUGCUGAACAUCAAAGCUUCACUCAGCCUAUGGAAGGAGUCCAAGCUGUCACGCGUGUCUAUCCGAUGGCUGGAAACAUUUGUCUACCUCAUCGUGCGCCAACUGAAGCUACAGCGAGCACAAUUGCUCAAAGGCCUCAGAAGCGCUCUCGGGUCCUAAAUGACUGAGAACUUCUUGUGGCCCUGCAUCAGAAACAAGAUAAGCAUCAUUUUUGGCUCAAGCGUCAGAUGCAAAGCCUCUUGGUGGAUGUAAAUUGCAUUCGAAACCUUGCCACCAAGAAUGCAUUUGUCACUCACGAAACUUGUCGGCGAUCAUGGAAGAGUUUGACCCUGCUUAGUGCUGAAGUAGAUCUUCAAGACGAUGGCUUCACUGAAAGAUUCAAGUUUGACUCCACUCCUCCACGGAAUGCUGUCCUAAGAAGAACUCCAUCUCUUGAAGACUCUGACUAUUCUUCCUCCGCGGCAACUGUCAAUGCCAAUGUGAUUGAUGAUGAAGACGAUGCUACUUCACCACCCCCUACUUCUGCACGCAUCAACACUGCACCAAGUUCGUCUGCACUGCCAAACGACAACGACAACCCUGCUGCUUCAACUACUCCUCAUGAGGACGAGUAGAUGCUCUAUGUCUUCAAACCUUUUUAGUCAUUACUGACAAAAGGGGGAGAAGCGUAUGAGUUUGAUAGUCUUCAAGCGGGUUCAUAUGGGUGGUUGCUUUAUAUUUUGCCUAGUGUUUACAACUCUUGCUUUUGAUACAUUUCGUUCUUUGAGUUGUAACACUUAAACUCGAUGGUCGUCUGCUACUUAUUUGCUCUUUCAUGUGCGAUGAUAACUUCCGCACUUAGAUCAAUCCGCACUUAGAUCAUUUUGCAGACGUCCAUUUUUCAUUAUGCAUGUCAUUCUCUUAGUUAUAUCAUUUCGUGCAUGAUGAAUUAUCUUCAUAAGUUGAAGUGGAUCUCCACAAGUACAACCUGCCAUGUGCAUUUGCAUUCCAAAAGCAAAUUAUUUAUAUGCACAUCUUCAGGGGGAGCCCUUGCCACUUAUGAAGACAAUACACUAUUCUUUACAAUUUCACAUACUUCUUUCCCGUUGAAAACUUUAACCAGUUUAUCAUCAAUCACCAAAAAGGGGGAGAUUGUAAGUGCAUCUAGUGCCACCCCUAGUUGGUUUUGGAGUAUUGAUGACAAAGUUGGUUGAGGGACUAAUGCGUUUGUGAGAAUUGCAGGAUAACACAGGAAGUGUCCCUCAUUGAUUCGGUUUACCUACCAGAGAUGACCCCUAAAAAUGUAUGAAGACAUUGAAGACAAUGGUGGUGUGUGAAGAUAUUCACACUGAGGUCUAUGACAUGAGAAGACAUUGAGUGAAGACUAUGGAGCGCGAAGACUGAGUUGUUUCGUUGUUUCCUUUUCUUCUUUGUUGAGUCAUAGGAACCACCGUACUGUUAAGUGGGGUCCAAGUGAACAAAGUCAGAGUGACUGAAGUGAUGCUCAACCCAAAUCCUAUGUCUUCGAGCGAAGACAAUGAGAGCAAAUCUUAUCCAGAGCUGGAUGAGUCAGCUUUGCUUGUAGCCCAAGUAAAGUUGUCGUGUGUGUUUGAAAUCUGACCGUUGGAACACGUGUCAGUUCCUUAGUGACCCAGGGUCAUUUCGGACAUAUCAGGUCGGGUUGCCUUGUGGCUAUAAAUAGCCCACCCCCUACACCAUAAAUGGUGGCUGCUCAGAGUUAGUUUUCGGCUUUUGUCAUUUUGAGAGCAACCCACCUCAAAGACUUUGAGAGACAAAUCCUUGCGAGGACAAAGCCCGAACACCCAGAGCCAAAGAGUGUUAGGCAUCACUGAAGUAUUUCUGUCUGUGUGACCUGAAGACUUAUUACACUUGAGGACUGUGUAUCCUCCAGCCGGUUAGGCGUCGCGUUCUGAGCAUCCAAGAGUCAUUGCGGAUUGCUAGUGAACGAAGUCUGUGAAGGUUCAGAAGUCUACCUUGAAGACUUACCAGAGUGAUUGGGCGAGGACUGUGUGUCCUUAGCUCAAGGGGAAUAAGGUGAAGACGCGGUCUUCUGAGUUGAAUCUCAGCCUCGCUAACCAGACGUACAGUUGUCACAGCAACUGGAACUGGUCCAACAAAUCCUGUGUCUUCAACAAGUGACUGGUUCUAUCUCUUCCCUCCUUUACUUUGAGUAUGUCUUCGUGAAGUCAUUGCUUAUUUGUCUUAUCUGUUUGACUUCAUUGCUUGACUACUAUCGUUAAUUGGCUUCGUACUAUCUUCCAUCCUGAUCCUUACUACCUAGCUGCUAAUAGUCUUUGUAUGUUCACUUUAUUGCAUACUUGACUACGGCUUGCUUGUUGUAGUUUAUCUUCCGCUGCAUAUCAAUUAGGUCAUUUCUAUUGUUUGUCUUUGAAACUUCCACGUUUUGAAGACUUUGAUAAAAAUCGCCUAUUCACCCCCCCUCUAGUCGAUAACUAGCACUUUCAGUACCGGGUCCCCUUCGGAGAGAUCCACGUCUUCAUCGGCCGGAUUGGUGAGCCGGGGCCUGAGCAGGACAACUGCACCGACCUCGUCGAGACGGCUCAGCGUGCGAAACCCACCCGAGCUCAACCCGGCAUGAGGCGUCUCUUUGUGGGCUGCGUCCACGGAGAAGAGCUUUCUGGAGGACCCGAAGAUGGUGGUGAGAUGGCCGUCCACUCUGAGGGUGAUUCGUCCACCGGUUCAAUAGAUGCUCUGCAUCAAGUUCAAGAUGGUGUGCUCGGGGGCUGUUCCGAUGGCUUCAGUAUUCCGGACCCCUGUGAGUCACCAAAUUGGGCAGGAGUCUUUAUGGCUGGGACUCAACCCGGACAAAACUCUAAAGCCGCGGCUGCAGUUACUUCCGGGUUAGGAGCGGCUAGGGCAGGAGGCCUUGUGCGCCCGCCGGCUCAAGUGCUGAUAGACCUCAUGGACAAGCUUAUGGCCCUGUUAACCGCCACGGUUAUCGCUGCGAACAAAGAUGAGCAUGACACGGAGGUAGCACGGGUACGUGAGGAGAUAGCUCAGGCCAAGGAGGCCUUAGCAGCUGAGGAUACUAGACUAGCUACGGAGCGGGCGGCUCUUGAAGCCCGGGCAUAGCGGUUGCAGUCAGAGGCUUACCAGCUCACGAUGAGUUUAAACGCGUCCAAUGAGGUAAUGAGGAGGAGACACCAGAAGACCCAAUCCCGGUUACCUCCGAAUUACGACCCUAGGGUUCUUUUUGCUACACCCGGAGCCGGCCCAAGUAACCCGCCCGAUGCUAAUCAGUUUAUGACAUCUGGAGCAGGAGGACCGGCUCAGCGUCGGGAGAUGCCACCUCCUCAUAUAAGCAUGGCGCCGCCGCGUUAUGUGCCGAUACCGGAGGGUCACUUUUCCAACCCCAUGGAGAAUUUAAUCGCAGCGUCAGUGCAUCUGGCGGCUCUUCCGGUGGACGGUGAUGAUCCGACAGCGGUGGAGACCCGGAGGAUCAGGGAACUUGUCCAGACGGCCCUGGCUCAGCAGGAGACCUAUUCUUACAGUCGGGAUAGGAUUCAUUCAACCCCUCCGCCUUGGUUAGCACCGCCUCGUCAGAACCGGAGCCCGAGUUACAGCAGGCACAUGGAGUCCGAAACUUUAUCAAGCAACUCCCAACGCCGUGACCAGCAUGGUGGCUAUAACCCGGUGCGAGACCGAGUACGUCAGGAGAACGAACGGGCGGCUCAACUGGCGGCUCAACUGGCGGCUCAUCAAGAUAUCCCAGAGUAUCCAACGACUUCUAUUGAGAUGGGAGUAGCCACCAGAACCGGCGGAGUUCCUUGUUUGAUACCGGCUUUGCGCAACGUGCGCCUGCCCAAAGACUUCAAGGGACCUCAAAAGGUGCCGAAUUAUACGGCCGACUUACAGCCUGGAGCAUGGAUCGAGAGCUAUGAGAUGGCCAUGGAGCUGUUGGAGGUCAGUGACGUGGCAAUGGCUAAAUACUUCACCAUGAUGUUAGAUGGAACGGCCCGGUCUUGGCUAAAAGGUUUACCACCCAAUUCCAUUAGCUCGUGGGAGGAGUUAAAAGCCCGUUUCAUCCAGAACUUCAAGGACACAUGUAAGCAAUCUAUGUCAAUCGUGGACUUGAUGAAUUGUAAGCAGGGGGAGGGUGAAUCCACCACCCAUUGGAUACGCCGAGUCAAGGAGAUAAUUCAUUCAUCUGAUAAGAUGGAUGCCGGCUCUGCAGUCCUCAUGUUGGAGAAAAAUUGCAACUUUGAACCGCUGAGGCAGAAAUUGGGACGCCUUAAGCGUGACUGCACCGAUAUGGGAAUGCUGAUGGCGGCUUUAGUCAAAUAUGCCGAUUCUGAUAAUACCAAGGACCCCGCGUCUGACGAUGAGAAGACAGGGAAGGGAAAAAGGAACGGUAAUGGAAAGGGUCAACAGCACAACCCGGGGAAUCAAAGCGGCAAUAAGCGUAAGGCGGACGGCAGCCCGGAGCUUGUGGCCAACGCUAGUACACAAGGUAACAAUCAGAGACGUAAGGGUAAGUGGCCUCGAUCCGGCGGGUCAGGCCCAUCUCUUGAGCAGCUACUCAAUGAGCCCUGUCCGAAACAUGGCACCCGGGAGCACCCCGCUACACACUUAUGGAAGGAUUGUGCAAUCAUGAAGGCGUUUAAAAAUUCUAAUACCUUUGAUGGAAGUCAUGGAUCUGGCGGCGGUUCAGGGGCCGGUGGUUUUCACGGCCCGGGCGGCGGUUCAAAUUCCGGUUUUCAGGGACAGCCGGGUGGAAAUAAUCAGCAGCAAUCUGGUCAGGGAGGACAGCAGCAGCAGCAGUCGGGUUACCAGAGCCAGCCGAAACAGUUGAGCGGUGGGCAGUACCAUGUGUUUACCACUAGCUUAUGCAAACGUGACCAGAAGGUUCAUAAGAGGGCUGUAAAUUCGGUUGAGCCGGCAGUUCCUCGUUAUUUGAGAUGGUUAGAGCAACCCAUCAUUUGGAGCAGAGAGGAUCACCCUCCACGCGUCGAUAAUCCGGGUCAGUUAGCCUUGGUGGUAGCAUCCCAUGUUGGUGGAUAUAAAUUCACUAAGGUACUCAUGGACGGAGGUAGCAGCUUCAAUAUACUCUAUUAUGAGACCUUCCAGCGUAUGGGGUUGACUGAGAAGAAUCUGAGAAUAUCCAACACUGUUCUCCACGGGGUGGUUCCAGGAAAGUCGGCUUACCCAGUUGGUAAGAUUGAAUUAGAGGUGGCCUUUGGAGAUGAGUAUGAUUCCAGGGCUGAGAAGCUGACGUUUGAGGUGGUCAAAAUCAGGAGUCCAUAUCACGCUCUAUUUGGGCGACCGACUUAUGCUAAGUUCAUGGCACAGCCGUGUUACGUUUACUUACAGCUCAAGAUGACGGGUCACAAGGGCACCAUCACCGUGCAUGGGAGUCGAAAGGUGGCUUUGGAAUGUGAAGAAGGCGACGCGGCUUACGCUGAGACAGCCUGUGCCGCGGAGGAGCUCAAAUUCUAUCAAGACAAUGUUGACCCGGCGGAUAUGACCUCCCUCAAGAGACCAACUAGUGAGCAUGACCCGGCGUUGAAGUUUAGAUCGGCCGCUGAGACAAAGAUUGUUGACUUCACCCCGGGAGACGCCUCUAAGCAGUUCAGUAUCAGUGCCAAUUUGGAUCCUAAAUAGGAAAGCGCGCUCAUCGAGUUCAUCCGUGAGAACCAGGACAUCUUUGCAUGGAAACCUUCUGACAUGCCGGGUGUACCGAGGGAACUCGCUGAGCAAACUCUCAAUAUUGAUCCGAAGUAUAAGCCGGUCAGGCAGUUUCUCCGGGGAUUCAAUGAAGAGAGACGGACAGCUAUUGGGGAAGAGGUGGCCCGGCUCUUAGCGGUCGUGUUUAUUGUUGAAGUUUUUCAUCCGGAGUGGUUGGCUAACCCAGUGCUGGUGCUCAUGAAGAACGUCACUUGGCGGAUGUGUGUGGAUUACACAGACUUAAACAAGGCUUGUCCGGCUGAUCCCUUUGCUCUCCCCUUGAUCAACUCAUUGAUGCUGCGGCGGGUUGUGAACGUUUGAGCUUUUUGUACGCUUACUCCGGUUAUCAUCAGAUCAAGAUGGCAGUUAAGGACCAGGAGAAGACAGCUUUUAUCACUCCGUUUGGGGCCUUCUGUUAUGUAUCUAUGCCAUUUUGGCUCAAGAGUGCCCAGGAAACUUAUCAGCGAUGUGUGCAGAACUGUUUGCACGAUCAAAUUGGGCGCAAUGUUCAUGCUUAUGUGGAUGACAUCGUGGUGAAGUCCAAAGAAAAGGAAACUUUAAUAUCCGACUUGAGAGAGACCUUUGACAAUCUCCGGGUUUACAAGAUGAUGCUUAACCCGGCCAAGUGGGUGUUUGGUGUACCUGCAGGCAAGCUCUUGGGCUUUCUGGUGUCAAAUAGAGGCAUUGAAGCUAAUCCGGAGAAGAUUACGGCGAUUACCUCUCUGGCUAAGCCGGCAUGUAUCAAUGAUGUUCAACGCCUGGCGGGACGUGUUGCCGCUUUAAGCCGGUUCAUAAGCCGGUUAGGGGAAAAGGCCUUACUGCUAUAUCAGAUGAUGAAGAAAACAUACACUUUUGUCUGGAGCGAUGCUGCUAACACUGCCUUUGAAGAUUUAAAGAGACAAUUGUCUGAGACACCGGUUCUUGCAGCUCCCAUUGAUAAAGAGCCGCUAUUGUUAUAUGUGGCUGCUAACUCACGGGCCGUCAGUGUUGCCAUCGUGGUGGAGCGUAAGGAGGCAGGCAAGGAGCAUCCGGUUCAACGGCCGGUUUACUACAUCAGCAAGGUACUCAUUGAGUCUAAACAAAGGUAUCCACAUUGGAAAAAGCUUGUUUACGGUGUGUUCAUGGCAAGACGGAAGUUGAAACAGUACUUUCAAAGUCAUCCUAUAACGGUGGUAAGUUCAGCUCCUUUGGGAGACAUCAUUCAAAACAGGGAAGCCACAGGACGAAUCGCCAAGUGGGCCAUUGAGCUUGGGCCUUAUGGUCUGAAGUAUAUGCCCCGCACUGCCAUCAAGUGUCAGGCCUUGGUGGAUUUUAUCAAUGAUUGGACAGAGUUACAGGCACCCGAGGAAAAGCCGGACAAUACGUAUUGGAUUAUUCACUUUGAGGAUCCAGGCAGUUAGAAGGAUCACGGGCUGGAGUUGUCUUAACUUCCCCUCGAGGUGAUAAAUUUCGUUAUGUGCUCUGGCUCAUGUUUCCCUGUACUAACAAUGCAACUGAAUACGAGGCCUUGCUCCAUGGUCUCCGGAUGGCUAAGGAGAUGAAUUUGAGCUGGGUAAGGUGCUUGGGCGACUCAGACCUCAUGGCUCAGCAGGUCUCAGGCACAUGGGAUUCUAAGGAUCCCCUUAUGGUGGCCUAUCACCGUGAAGUAGAUGUUGUAGCUGGGUACUUCAAAGGGUAUCAGGUGGAGCAUAUUGAUAGAAGGAAGAAUGAGGCGGCUGAUGCUUUAAGCUGGUUGGGCUCUUAGCAUAAGCCAGUGUCGCCUAACACCUUUCUUGACGUUCUACAUAAUUGAGGGAGUUCCGGACUAGGGGGUGUCUGGAUAGCCGAACUAUCAUGAUCGGCCGGACUCCAAGACUAUGAAGAUACAAGAUUGAAGACUUCAUCCCGUGUCCGGAUGGGACUUUCCUUGGCGUGGAAGGCAAGCUUGGUGAUACGGAUAUGUAGAUUUCCUACCAUUGUAACCGACUCUGUGUAACCCUAGCCCUCUCCGGUGUCUAUAUAAACCGGACGACUUUAGUCCAUAGGACGAAGAACAAUCAUACCAUAGGCUAGCUUCUAGGGUUUAGCCUCCUUGAUCUCGUGGUAGAUCCACUCUUGUAACACACAUCAUCAAUAUUAAUCAAGCAGGACGUAGGGUUUUACCUCCAUCAAGAGGGCCCGAACCUGGGUAAAACAUCGUGUCCCUUGUCUCCUGUUACCAUCCGCCUAGACGCACAGUUCGGGACCCCCUACCUGAGAUCCGCCGGUUUUGACACCGACAUUGGUGCUUUCAUUGAGAGUUCCUCUGUGUCGUCACCAAUAGGCUCGAUGGCUUCUUCGACCAUCAUCAACGACGCAGUCCAGGGUGAGACCUUUCUCCCCGGACAGAUCUUCGUAUUCAGCGGCUUCGCACUGCGGGCCAAUUCUCUUGGCCAUCUGGAGCAGAUCGAAAGCUACGCCCCCGGCCGUCAGGUCAGAUUUGGAAGUUUAAACUUCACGGCGGACAUCCGCGGGGACUUGAUCUUCGAUGGAUUCGAGCCACAGCCGAGCGUGCCGCACUGUCACGGCGAGCAUGAUUUAGCUCUGCAGCUGGACAGUACCCUGGAGGCCGCACUCAAACCCGCUCCGAUCUUCAAUUCGGAGCCGGCUGCGCAGAUCGAGGAUGGAUGGCUAGACACCGCCUCGGAGACUGCCACCUCUACGGCGAUAGAGCCGAACACUGACCUUGUCCCUCAUAAAGCUCGUGACUCCGAGGUGCCGGACUCCUCGCCGGACUCUGAACCCCUCGCGCCCCCUCCGAUCGAAUUCGAUUGGGCGCCGAUCAUGGAGUUCACCGCAGCGGACAUCUUCCAACACUCACCUUUCGGCGACAUCUUGAGUUCGCUGAAAAAUCUCUCGUUAUCAGGAGAGCCCUGGCCGGACUACGGUCAGGACAGCUGGGAUGCGGACGACGAAGAAAUUCAAAGCCCACCCACCACCCACUUGGUAGCCGCUGUCGACGAUCUAACCGACAUGCUAGACUAUGACUCCGAAGACAUCGACGACAUGGACGACGAUGCCGGAGACGACCAAGAACCAGCGCCGACCGAGCACUGGAAAGCCACCUCAUCAUAUGACAUAUACUUGGUGGAUAUCCCAAAAGAUGGGAAUGGCGAAGGAACAGAGGAGGAUGACCCCUCCAAGAAACAGCCCAAGCGCUGGCGUCAGUGGCACCGCUCUAAAUCCCGCCACAGCAAGAAUGAAGAUUCCGGCACCGGAGAUAAUAAUACACCGGACAGUGCCGAAGACAACCCACUCCAGCAAGACCCAGCGCAGGAGGAUGGAGACGCCAGCCCUCAUGAGAGAGCGGCAGAAGAAGAGGUAGAGGAUCAUAUGCCUCCCUCUGGAGACGAAGCAAGCCUCGACGAUGAUGAAUUCGUCGUGCCUGAGGAUCCCGUCGAACAAGAGCAUUUUAAACGCAGGCUUAUGGCCACGGCAAACAGGCUCAAGAAAAAGCAGCAACAGCUUAAAGCUGAUCAAGAUCUGCUAGCCGACAGAUGGACUGAAGUCCUCGCGGCCGAAGAGCAUGAGCUCGAACGCCCCUCCAAAAGCUACCCUAAGCGCAAGCUGCUCCCCCAAUUAGAGGAGGAAGCAUAUGAACCCGCAUCACCAGGAGACAAUACGGCUGACCGACCACCCCGUGGUCGCGACGGAGAGGCCUCUAGGCCCUUCACUAGACCCGUACCCCGGCAUCGCUCGAAAAGCACAAGGCCACAAGGGAACGCUCCGGACUUGCAAGAUAUAUUGGAGGAUAAGGCAAGACAAUCAAGAUCGAUCUAUGGAUCGCGUGGGCGCUCCACGGUACGUGACGACAAACGUCGCGCUGGACACAGUAAGUCCGGCCGGGCCGAACAAAACAGAAAAAACUCCUUUGAGCUCCGUCGUGAUAUCGCCUAGUACAGAGGCGCCGCACACCCACUAUGCUUCACAGAUGAAGUAAUGGAUCAUCAAAUCCCCGAAGGGUUUAAACCCGUGAAUAUCGAAUCUUACGAUGGCACAACAGACCCCGCGGUUUGGAUCGAAGACUAUCUUCUUCACAUCCACAUAGCCCGCGGUGACGAUCUCCACGCCAUCAAAUAUCUCCCCCUCAACCUUAAAGGACCAGCCCGGCAUUGGCUUAACAGCUUGCCAGCAGAAUCAAUUGGGAGUUGGGGAGACCUGGAAGCCGCAUUCCUCGAUAACUUCCAAGGCACGUAUGUGCGACCACCAGACGCUGACGACCUAAGCCACAUAAUUCAACAGCCAGACUAAUCGGCCAGACAAUUCUGGACACGGUUCUUAACCAAGAAAAACCAAAUCGUCGACUGUCCGGAUGCGGAGGCCCUCGCGGCCUUCAAGCAUAACAUCCGCGAUGAGUGGCUUGCCCGGCACCUGGGACAGGAAAAGCCGAAAUCCAUGGCAGCCCUCACAUCACUCAUGACCCGCUUCUGCGCGGGUGAGGAUAGCUGGCUAGCACGCAGCAACAACCUCAGCAAAAAUUCUGGCAGUCCGGAUUUCAAGGACUGAAAUGGCAGGCCGCGUCGUAACAAAAACAAGCGCCGCAUCAACGGCGACAAUAGUGAGGAUGCGGCAGUCAAUGCCGGAUUCAGAGGCUCUAAACCCGGUCAGCAGAAAAAGCCAUUCAAAAGAACUACUCCGGGUCCGUCCAAUUUGGACCGAAUACUCGACCGCCUGUGCCAGAUACACGGCACCCCCGAAAAGCCAGCUAACCACACCAAUAGGGACUGUUGGGUAUUCAAGCAGGCAGGCAAGUUAAUUGCCGAAAACAAUGACAAGGGGCUGCAUAGCGAUGACGAGGAAGAGACCCGACCGCCGAACAAUAGAGGACAGAAGGGUUUCCCCCCACAUGUGCGGACGGUGAACAUGAUAUACGCAACGCACAUACCUAAAAGGGAGCGGAAGCAUGCACUCAGGGAUGUAUACGCGAUGGAGCCAGUCGCCCCGAAGUUCAAUCCAUGGUCCUCCUGCCCGAUCACUUUUGACUGAAGGGACCACCCCACCAGCAUCCGCCACGGCGGAUUCACCGCAUUGGUCUUAGACCCAAUCGUCGAUGGAUUUCACCUCACCAGAGUCCUGAUGGACGGCGGCAGCAGCCUGAACCUGCUCUAUCAGGAUACAGUGCGCAAAAUGGGCAUAGACCCCUCAAGGAUUAAACCUACCAAGACGACCUUUAAAGGCGUCAUACCAGGUGUAGAAGCCAAUUGUACAGGCUCAGUUACACUAGAAGUGGUCUUUGGAUCCCCGGAUAACUUCUGAAGCGAGGAGUUAAUCUUUGACAUAGUCCCGUUCCGCAGCGGUUAUCAUGCCUUGCUCGGACGUACCGUGUUUGCAAAGUUCAACGCGGUGCCGCACUAUGCAUACCUCAAGCUCAAGAUGCCAGGCCCUCGAGGAGUCAUCACGGUCAACGGAAACAUUGAACGUUCUCUCCGAACGGAGGAACAUACAGCGGCUCUCGCGGCAGAAGUACAAUGCAGCCUCUUAAGGCAAUUCUCGAGUCCGGCCGUUAAGCGGCCGGACAUAGCUAAACACGCCCGGAGUAACAUACAACAAGACCACCUGGCACGUUCCGAGCACGCGUAGCAGUGCGGCCCCAACCCCAGCCCCUGCAAAACGUCAAAACAGGUCCUUUGCGUACACCAUUAUGCUCUGAAGAUACCAUGGGCAUGGGGAGAGGGGCACGACCAGGAUAAGCCCAGACUGCGGCUCAACCACACCAGGGGCUCUCAAGUGUGUCGUUCUUUUUUUCCUCUUUUUACCUUCUAUUUUUUACCCACAGGACUCCGUUCGUCCGAGGCCCUGUCCGGCAGCAGACCUGCCGAACUCAUGAUUCAAUAGCCAGGGAAGGAUAAAGGCUACAACAAAUAUACAUGUGGUCUCCAUUACGAGCAUUUUUAUACACCAAUCCGUAGCCUACCCCUGGAGGGGGACAUGUUUAACAGUCCCAUCCCUUGCUUAUCGCACCAUUUGUAUCGUUCUGUAGCACUUAUUGAAUAAAACAAUGCAGCACCUUUUUUGCUUAUAAUUGCAUUUCUUUUUCAUACAUAUGUUCAUUUACGACAUGUCGCAUCCGUACACUUUGGUACGGUUAAAACACACCAGGGGCUUAUGUUUCCCGCAUCAUGGUGUGAUAAGUCCGAACACUUUCACAAGUGCGGCACCCCGAACUUAUAGCAUUAUAUGCAUCGGCUCUGAAUCAUGUCUUGGGUCAAUAGUUGGGUUUGCCCGGCUCCCAUGUUUUGGUACCUUACGUUCCGUUUUAUCGGCUAAGGUAGCACUGGGAGAACCACUGCGAUUGCGCCCCAGUUGAGCUGGGUUAACGCCUCAGUGGAGAAAGCUAAAACUGACCGUCAUGAUGAGGCGAGGGCCGGUCGCUGUUCGAGAGGUUUUUGCGAGUCCUUAAAGACUUAUGCAGCUUAGAGCGAGGAGCCGGAUCCUGUCCGGCCCAGGCGUGGAUAGCGCCCCAAAUUCGGCCUUCCGAAGACUAGGGGCUUCGCCGAAAUUUAAAAUUAUAGAAUUAUAUGGCUAAGUGAGAGUGUUCAAGCAUUAUAAGUCCGGUUGCCUUGUUUGCUGUGUUGAGCGCCUCCCUAGAUGGACCCAAAAAUGGGAACAAGAGUGCUCAAGUUUAUCCCGAACACCCCAGCACUCGUGACAUGGGGGCUGAAGCCGACGACUUGCCAUCUCUCAGAUUUGAUAAACAGCCACACAGAAGGUAAUGUUUUAAAUUAACAAGCGUUGCUUAGCGCAUAUGAACUCAGUUUUCAGCGCACAGGAUAUCAAAAUGCGAGUCUACUCAAAAAUUACAUCUUUGGAGCACUCCCCGCAAUAGUGGGGGCGCCCUUCAGCACACUCUUAUAAUACAUCUCGGGCGUGCGAUGCUCCUUGCCCUCUGGUGGCGGGUCCGUCACAAGCUUCUGGGCAUCCAUCUUGCCCCAGUGCACCUUUGCGCGGGCAAGGGCCCGACGGGCACCCUCAAUACAGGCGGAGUGCUUGAUGACUUCAACCCACGGGCACGCAUCCACCAGCCGCCGCACCAAGCCGAAGUACCUCCCAGGCAUGGCCUCCUUAGGCCACAGCCGAACUAUGAGGCCCUUCAUGGCCUGUUCGGCCGCCUUGUGGAGCUCGACCAGCUGCUUCAGCUGGUCGCUAAGGGGCACCGGAUGUCCGGCCUCAGCAUACUGAGACCAGAAGACCUUCUCCGUCGAGCUCCCCUCCUCGGCCUGGUAGAAUGCGGCAGCUUUGGACACGCUGCAAGGAAGAUCUGCGAACGCUCCUGGAGAGCUCCGAAUUCGGGUAAGCAACAGGUAAUUAACACUCACAUGCUUACUUUGCAUAAAAAUGCCUUACCCGCUGCUAUUUUCUUCACCGCCUCAAUCUCCUGGAGGGCCUUGUAGGCUUCGGCCUUAGCGUCUUUGGCACUCUCAAGAGCCGUUGCAAGCUCAGACUCUUGAGUCUUCGAGUCACGCUCCAGGCUCUCAUGUUUUUUCACGAGAUCCUGGAGCUCUUGCUGUACCUCCGCCACCCGCGCCUCCUGCUUCUCUCGCUUGGUGCGCUCCGCGGCGGCAUUGCGUUCGGCCGCGGCCACCGCCUCUUUCAGGCUCGCCACCUCGUUAGUGGCCCCUCCAAUACCCACGUUAUCCUUGUCAUUCUUUUGCAACCAAAAUCCUUUUCUAUAAGGUACAAUUUUAAUAAGGUGUUACUCACCUUGCUUGUCCUCGAGCUCCUUCUUGGCACGGCCGAGCUCGUUCUCGGACCGCUUGAGGUUUUCCUUCAAAGUAUUGACCUCCGCAGUCAGUGCGGCAGAGGUCAGCAGCGUAGCCUGCAAAUCCCAUAUUGACAUAUUUAUUAUGACUCCUACAUAUAUCUUUUUAGAUCCUCAGUCCGGCUUUUCUUUCCAAACACCGAACCGAGCAUCAGGGGCUACUGUCUAUGCGGUACCAUUCUAUACAUAUUGAAAUUCUUACCUCAAAGCCUGUUAGAAGGCUGCUGCAGGCCUCGGUCAGCCCGCUCUUGGCGAGCUGCACCUUCUGAAUCACCGCACUCAUAACGGUGUGGUGUUCCUCUUUGAUGGAGGCGCCAUUGAGCGCCUCCAGCAAGCUAUCCGGCGCCUCCGGUUGGACGGAGGCUGCCGGCGUCACGGUCUUGCCCUUCUUUCGAAGGGGUCGCCCGCCAGACUCCGGAGCCACUGUGGGUUCCGGGGCCGAGUCCGGUGCAAAGUCCGGGAGGUUGUCCUGCGACACCUCCGGGGCCCGCUCCUCCUGGUGGGUCCCUUCCUGGGAUCCCACCUCGGCAUCGUCCGCGUCACGGGGGGUGGAGGCAGUCGGAAGAGAAUCCAUAUCCGACGCACCUAAGGACCCGCUCGAUGAAGCGGGGAGAUCAUCCUUAGGCGGACUGCAGGGUUGUAUGCGGCAUUAGAAAGACAUUAUGUGGCGAAAAAUAUAAACCUUGAAGUUAUUCGGGAGUCCGGAUACUUACGAUCUCACCAGGGGAUUGGCCCUUGGAUGUCAAUCCUCGUCGUCGUCACUUGCGUUGGCGGAGCAGUCCGGGGGAAGAGUUUUUCCCUUCUUGGACCCUUCGGCCUCCCUUGUUGGGGAGGCCUUCCUUUUCUUCCCUCCCCUCGCCGGGGGAGAGGCUUUCUUCUUCUCCUCCUCGCCUUGGUGGGAGGAGUCGGCCUCAGAUUCAUCGUCCGAUAGCACCUGAAAACGGGAACUCUUCCGAGUCCCCGUGGCCUUCUUCUUGGCCUUCUUCUCCGGCACCACGUGGGGUGCCGGAGCCAGCAGCCCCGUUAGGCGGGCGUCCGCUGGGUCCUCUGGCAAUGGGGUCGGACAGAUAGUCCGUUCGGCCUUUGCCAGCCAGUCCUGUCAAAGGUAAAGGGAGUUUAGAUCCCGCAUAGAGUCAAACUAUGGAAAACAAGUGGCGAAAUCACUUACCUCGUCAGCUGGACACUGCGAGCGGAAUCCGCGAUCUUCGGUAGCGGAUGCGGGAGCCUCGGCGCCUUUGAACAGCACCUUCCAGACAUCUUCGUACGUAGUGUCGAAGAGCCCGCUCAGAGUCUGGUGCUGCGCCGGAUCGAACUCCCACAUGUUGAAGCCCCGUCGUUGGCACGGGAGAAUACAGCGGAUGAGCAUGACCUGGACUACGUUAACAAGCUUGAGCUUCUUGUCCACCAGCUUCUGGAUACAGGCUUGGAGUCCGGUCAGCUCCUCCGAAUCCCCCCAGAUCCGGCCACUCUCUUUCCAGGAGGUGAGCCGUGUAGGGAUGUCGGAUCUGAAUUCGGGGGCCGCUGCCCAAUCAGGGUCACGCGGCUCGGUGAUGUAAAACCACCCUGAUUGCCACCCUUUAAUGGUUUCCACGAAAGUGCCCUCCAGCCACAUAACGUGGGACAUCCUGCCCACCAUGGCGCCUCCGCACUCCACUUGGCUGCCCUUCACAACCUUCGGCUUGACACUGAAGGUCUUGAGCCACAAGCCGAAGUGGGGCUGGAUGCAGAGGAAGGCCUCACACACGACGAUAAACGCCAAGAUGUUGAGGAUGAAAUUCGGGGCCAGAUCAUGGAAAUCUAGGCCAUAGUAGAACAUGAGCCCCCGGACAAAGGGAUGAAGUGGGAAGCCUAGUCCGCGGAGGAAAUGGGGAAGAAAUACUACCCUCUCAUGAGGCCUGGGGGUGGGGAUGAGCUCUCCCUCGUCGGGGAGCCGAUGCGCGAUGUCGCUGGACAGAUAUUCGGUGUCGCGUAGCUUCUGGAUCUGCCCCUCCGUGAUGGAGGAGGCCAUCCACUUGCCUCCCGCUUCGGACAUAGUUGGAGAAGGUUGAGGUGAGAAGUGCACACUUGGGCGCUGGAGCUCGAGUUCACGGAGAUGGAUAAGCCAAGGAGGAAGAAGGCGCAGGUAAAAGGGUUGGAUCUUUAUCCCCUUAUAUGGGCGGACAAAAACAUGUGUCCCCACCGGCCUGGUAAAACUCGCUUAUCUCCCAAGCGUCACAAUCAAUGGUGCGGUUGGGUUACCCACGUCCGUAUUGAUGGGAAUCCCGGAAUAAGGGGAACACGAUCUCUGCUUCGACAAGACAUGCCAAGGAAACCGCUUCGCUAAACGCGCGGAGGUGGAACAAUAAAAACAAUUUGAGUAAAGGCUUGGUAGUGGUAUGACGUCACGCCACAAAAUACGUCAGCAGAUUGAACUUGUGUAAUGUUAUUCUCUCCACGGUGGUACGUGGAUUUUAUUUUUGCAGAGCCGAACACUAUCCUGGUGUUCACAAUCUUCUAUAAAUUAUUCGGAGGAAGAACCCGCCUUGCAAUGCUGAAGACAACAUGCGCGCCGGACUCGUCGUCAUUGAAGCCUGGUUCAGGGGCUACUGAGGGAGUUCCGGACUAGGGGGUGUCCAAAUAGCCGAACUAUCAUGAUCGGCCGGACUCCAAGACUAUGAAGAUACAAGAUUGAAGACUUCGUCCCGUGUCCGGAUGGGACUUUCCUUGGCGUGGAAGGCAAGCUUGGCGAUACGGAUAUGUAGAUUUCCUACCAUUGUAACCGACUCUGUGUAACCCUAGCCCUCUCCGGUGUCUAUAUAAACCGGACGGCUUUAGUCCAUAGGACGAAGAACAAUCAUACCAUAGGCUAGCUUCUAGGGUUUAGCCUCCUUGAUCUCGUGGUAGAUCCACUCUUGUAACACACAUCAUCAAUAUUAAUCAAGCAGGACGUAGGGUUUUACCUCCAUCAAGAGGGCCCGAACCUGGGUAAAACAUCGUGUCCCUUGUCUCCUGUUACCAUCCGCCUAGACGCACAGUUCGGGACCCCCUACCCGAGAUCCGCCGAUUUUGACACCGACAAUAAUCCUUCUGUUAAAGUACCUACAGAGGAAGAGCUUGCAGUGCCAGACCCAGAGGCACAGUUGGUGGCCGCACUUCAUGUCAUCCCGGAUUGGACAUUGCCAUACUUGGCUUAUAUGACCCGGGGAGAGCUGCCUAAGGAUGGGACCUUGGCAAGACAAAUUGUCAGGCGGUCCAAAUCCAUGACAAUUGUUAAUGGCGAGUUACAUCACCUCAGUGUCACAGGGGCGUUCCAGCGUUGUGUGUCACCUGCAGAGGGUCAAGAGAUACUUCAAGAGAUCCAUGAAGGGGAUUGUGGUCAUCAUGCCGGUUCAAAAUCUCUGGUGGCCAAGGCUUUUCGUCAUGGUUUUUAUUGACUGACGGCUCAUCUGAUGCAGAAGAUCUUGUUAGCAAGUGUGACGGAUGUCAAAAAUUCUCACGACGAGCUCAUAUGCCGACCCAAGAAUUGAGGAUGAUUCCAAUUACUUGGCCGUUUGCAGUCUGGGGGCUUGACAUGGUGGGACCUUUCAAAAGGUCCAAGGAUAAAAAGACACACCUCCUGGUGGCAGUGGAUAAAUUACAAAGUGGAUUGAGGCAGAGCCGGUCAGUCAGUGUGAUGCGGCCACAACAGUUCAGUUCAUCAAAAAGGUGAUCUUUCGUUUUGGUUUUCCACAUAGCAUCAUAACUGAUAAUGGCACUAAUCUCUCCAAGGGUGCGAUGGAAGAGUUCUGUCAAUGGGAACAUAUCCAGCUUGACGUUUCGGCUGUUGCUCAUCCUCAAUCCAAUGGUCAAGCAGAAAGAGCUAAUCAGGAGAUCUUAAGGGGUAUCAAACCACGGCUCUUGGUCCCUUUACAGCGGACUCCGGGUUGUUGGGUGGAAGAGUUACCCUCUGUACUGUGGAGCAUCAACACGACGCUUAACAGAUCCAUGGGUUAUACACCUUUUUUCAUGGUUUAUGGAGCAGAGGCAGUUGUGCCAAGUGAUAUCCGACACGAUUCACCCCGUGUGGCGGCUUACGUUGAGGCUGAUAAUGAAAAGGCUCGACAGGAGGCACUUGACUUGUUGGAUGAAGAGCGAGACUUGGCAAUAGCCCUCUUAGCGAUUUACCAGCAAGACCUUCGUCGCUAUCACAGCCGCCGGGUCAGAAGCAGAACCUUUCAGGAAGGCGAUUUAGUGCUCUGGCUCAUCCAGGAUCAGUCCGAUAUGCACAAGCUAUCCCCUCCUUGGGAAGGACCCUUUGUGGUCAGCAAGAAUCUGAACAACGGGUCAUACUACCUCAUUGAUAUUCGAGAGCACAAAGACUCAUGUAAGUCGGAGGAGGAGACCCGCCGGCCGUGGAAUAUAGCCCAUCUUCGGCCUUACUAUACUUAAGCCAACGGCUCUUUAGAUGUAUAUAUUUUUUGACAAUGUAUAUAUUAUAUAAAGUAAUAAAGCAGGACCUAUGUCCUUUUUCACCCUCAAAAAAAGUGUAUAUGUCUUUUUGACAGGUGGUGGAAACAACCAAUAGGGACUGGAUCAUAUCUGAAUCCGGCUUUACCUUUGGUCCGGCUUAUGAUCAUAUCUGAAUCUAGCCAUGAUCGCUUGGGGGCUUCCUGUUCAAACAUAGGUCGUAUCCGAACCAAAGAGAACAUAGUUGUCGAUACCCACUUGAUCGGCAUACUGCCAAACCUACUUGGGGGCUUCUUGAUCAUAUUUGAAUCACAGCUUAACCCCUUUAGGUCUGACGUGGAUCGUAUAUGAAUCAACGUCAUUAAACAAAUCUUAUGGUCAUUUGGGGGCUUCCUGUUCAAACAUAGUUCGUAUUCAAACCAAAGAGAACAUAGCUGUCGAUACCCACUUGAUCGGCAUCGCCAAGCCACUGGGGGCUAUAUGAUCAUAUCCGAAUCUUAGCUUAACCCCUUUGGAACGGUUUACUGAUCGUAUCCAAAUCAGAAGCCUGUAAAGUAUUUUGAUAAUCCUGAAACCUUGUGGAAAGCAUUAUGAGGUGUUUUUGUCUUGCCGGUUUAAUAUUCAUCACCCAGGUUGUUAAGUGCCGGGUGAACAUUAUAUGAGCCGGGAAGAUUAUCAAAGGAUCGCAGGUAUGCUAUUAUACUCAAGUUUAACAAAAUAGUCUUAAACCAGCCUGCAUAUAAGUCUUCUGGUUUGUGUUCCGGGUUAUCAAUACUUUCUGUGCAGAAUAAGGCAAGAAAAAUUUAAAAUGCCAAGGAAGUAAAAGCCAGAAAUAUACAGCCAUGACGGCUUACGGAAAGCGUUAAGCAAUAAGAACAUGCACGAAGGCAUGACGAGCAUUGAGAAGUUCUUUCUACCCUAUUACAAGACUCCCCGAGUCUGAAUAGAUGAAGCAUUGUUUAUUGGCCAAACACCUGGCGAUUCACUCCUUUGGCGGGCUGGAAGGCUCCGGGUUAUCCUUCUCCGCUUCUCCGUCGACUGUUUUGUCCUGGAAAGUUGACGAGGCCCAGUCAAUGCCGCUCAAAGCUUCAAACUCAGCUUCAUCAUCUAUUAAACCGGCCGGGUCCACUUCAGGGGCAAAAGUAUGCUUACGAAAUUGGAGGGAUCAGGCUGAUUUGAUCAUAUGGAGCGUUUGGGAUUCUCCGGUUUUCACUAUCAUAAGCCGGCGCAUACUUGCUAAGAUCAGUGUUGUUUCCAAUAAGGGUUGCCACCGGACGUAUGGCUCUGACGCAGGCGGUGAAAUCAUGGUCAUCAAAUGCAGUGCCAUCUUCUUUCAGACUGGGGUACCCAAGGGCAAGGUCGGCCGGGUCUAGUUCUGAGAGCCAUGCUUUAGCCCGGCUCAAUGCGGCCACGGCCCCGGCUCUUGAGGAUGCCCGCCUUAAGUCUUGGAUCCGUUGAGGAAGAAAAGCGAGGCUCUUCAACACGUCUUGCAGAAGGCGGGGAUGUGGAGUUGAUAAAGCUACAACGGCCAAGGCGUGUUGUGACCCAGAGUACAGCUGUUCUACUAAGGUGUAAAUUGCUUUAAGCUUGAUCAGCAUGUUUUGCUUCAGAUUGGUACUCCUGGAGCCUGUAUGGGCAUAAGCAUAACCGUCAGCCGGAAGUAAUUAAUGCAAUAGUCAUUAUAAGGCUACAAUGUUUAAAUCUGUAUCCCAAUAACUUACCGAAGAUGGCUGAGACCAUUUGAGAUAUCUGCUGUUUUAAGCCGGUCAGCUCGGUUGUUGCUUCUGCAAGAGAUGCUUCGGCUGUUUCGGCCCGAGUCACCAGGGAAGCCUUCUCAUCAUCCCAAGUUUUCUUCUCUGACUCAAAUUUCUUCUUUAGUUUCUCAUUUUCAGAGACACUGAAUUCAAAUUUGGAGUUAGCCUUCUGUAUCUCAAGUUCUUGAGUCUCCAGACGACUCUUCAGGACCGCAAGCUCUGAUUCAAACUGACUUAUGGCGGCCUGCAUUAAACACUAGGUUAUGGUAAGGAUUAUAAGGUAACAUUAAAGUCUCAAGCACCUUACAAGUAAAGAUACUUGACACUUGGGGGCUAAUGUAUGCUGAAGAAUUUAAACCUUAUCUUUCCGGGUCACAUAUAUUAAAGUCUCAAGCACCUUACAAGUAAAGAUACUUGACACUUGGGGGCUAAUGUAUGCUGCAAAUUUAAAAGCCUUAUGUUAUAACCGGGUUAAGUAAAUUCUUCUUGAGCCGGAUAAGUUAACAGGUACAGCAGAUUUCUAAAGUCUACAACAUAUUUGUUCAAUAAGCAAUAGACUUGGGGGCUGGUACAGUAUGUAAGACUCAGGUAAAAAGUAUAAGUAAUACCUCAGAUUUGUGUUGUAUUUGUUUGACCAUGUCAAUUUCCAGGUCACGGCUAUUAUGCACUUGAUUUAGAUAGCCCAAGACUAUAUCACCAAUGCUUAAGUGAGUAUAAUCAGUAAUGUCCUACUUGGCCUUUCGGCAUUGGGCAAAUUCUUCCUUGGCGGUACAUUUGGCAAGGACGGUAGGCCGUCCUGGUUCAACAAACUGAGACUUCAGAAUCUCAACUUCCGGUUCAUUUGUUUUGACCGUGCUAGGAGUUUCCGGGUCACUUGUGUGGAGAGUAUCUUCGACAGGUGGAUCAGAAGUUGGCAUUGGAAUAUCAGAAGCCGGAUCUGGCGGUGGCUGAUGGGCAGAGCUGUCUGGAGCAGAUGCAUUAAUCACCGGUUCAGCUACGACCGGUUCUUCGAAUGGCUUAUUCUUUGCCCGUUUACUGGGCUUCACUUGCAUGCUGUUAACAAAAGUAGAAGGAUGAAUACGCAAGCAUGGGUAAAGUAAAAGUGCAUAAGGUUACAUUACCCGGGAGCAGUUUUGAAAGUCGGCAUGUUUGACUGCAUGGAUUCACCGGAAGAAGGAGAAGUAUCCUGAUAAUUGGAGUCGGGCGAAUUGAGAGGAUGACGAAUUAAGCCCGCUAAAGGUAAAACAGAAUGUAAAUCGGAGAUAACCUCAGUCUGCCGCUUCCUGGUUACGUCAGGUAAGUCGGAGGAAAGUUCUGCAUCCUUGUUGUUCCGGGUCUGCCUCCGGCUCUCAAGCUGUUGUUGCUUCAAAAGAAAUUGAGGAUCUUGAUAAGCAAGUGCAUGUGAAAAUCUUACUUUCCGGGUCACCCUUCGGAUCUUUUGCUUUGGCAAAGGCUCUGAGUCGGAGGAGAUUAUAUUUACCUCUUCAUUGGCUGCUCGACUGUUCCCCGUAUCCUCCUGAAGGGAUAAAAUGUCAGACAGGUGAUAACAAGGGACUUAAGAAAAUUUAAAGAUUACCUCUUCCUCAUCCGAAGAGCUAUCCUCCAAUCUGAGUAAGUCGGAGGCGCUGGGUUUUUUCUUCUUUGAGGUUCCUGUCUUGGCGGCUUUCCUUUUAGCUUUCUUGAUCGUCCUGGCUUGUUUGGCAGCUUCAUGGUCAUAUUUGGCUUUCGAGAAGUUAUCAUCGGCAUGUGGAAAAAGUUAAAGAAUUAUGAGUACCAAGAAAGGUAGAGUAUAGCAAUAAGUAUUUGUUACGUUUGAUAACUUACUGUGGGGGCCCGGUUAUUUUUGCAAAAUGGAAGUAAGCCGAAGGCAUUGCUCAUCACAGUGCCUUCCUUCAGCAGUGACUGGGUCGUAGCAUCCACCACGUCAUCUGGUAGGUCGUUAGGGCUAUGGCGUAACGGAUCAUUCUUUUCGCCUGUAUAAGUACACAUUAAGCCGGGACGGCGGCUUAAUGGAAGUAUUCGCCAAGUGACCCAGACUCGGACCUGAUCGAUGCCGUUUAAACCAUUUCCCAAGAGAGCUUUAAUCUUCCUGAUGGUGGAAUUGAGAGGCACACGUUCAAUGGUUGUCAGCUUAUCUGGUAGCUGAUGGUUAGACUCAAGGCGCAGGGCGCGAAAGCCGGGCAGAGGUUUUUCAUCAGCCGGAGAAGUAUCCUGACAGUAGAACCACGUCUGGUUCCAAGAUUUGGGGUGACUCGGCAACUCAACAUAAGGGAAAAGACAGUCUCUCCAUCGCUGGAUUGAGAUGCCGCCAAGCUCAAGACUGGGCCCAUUCACACGUUCAUUUUGCUGGUUCAUGUAAAAAGCUCCCUGAACAAUAGCAGACUUGGCUCCUCACCCAGGUACACCUCGCAGAAGACUUGAAAAUUGCAAAUAUUUGACACGGAAUUGGAUCCAAUGUCUUGAGGUCUAAGGUCAAAGAAGUUUAAAACCUCCCUGAAGAAUUUUGAGCCGGGAGGAGCAAAUCCACGGCUCAUAUGAUCUGUAAAAAUUAUUACUUCCCCUGCUUUGGGGUGAGGCUUUUCUUCGGACGGGUCAGGGGCAUGGUAAGACAUGACAUCCUUUUUUGGCAGAUGCCCAGACUUCACAAACUCAGCUAGUUUGCUAUUGGUAACUAUGGAUAGAACCCAAUUGCAUGUUACAGGGGCCUUGGUAGCCUUAGGAGCCAUCACAGCAAUUGGCCUAUGGAAAAACAAGCAGAUCCGGUUCAAUUUUAACCCGGGAGAAAGAUCCUAAUUAUUCAAAGUGGCGGCUUAAUGAGGGGCCUAAUGAUAUAAGGAUGACUAUGCAAACAAUAUUUAAGCCGCUACGAGUAUCAACAGCAGUUCAAAAAUUAUUCGGAUCAUUUAUUUAAGCCGGACACCUCAACAGUUCUGUUUCAGGGCAUUUACCAGAAGAGGUUUCCGGGUGAUAAAAACAAGUUUCACAGAUAACAGUUAUUACUCUGGAUCAAAAUAUUGCUCUGAAAAGAAAAUUUUCUAGACCUAAAAACAGGGCAGAGAAGUUCGUACACUCGAAGAGGGUUUCCAAACAAGGGAAAUGAGAUCUAUUUCUAUGCAAGGUAAGCAUAAACAAGUACCGCAACAGUUCUACGUAGUUUUCACAAUCUAAGUAGGGCAUUGGAGGUAAGAACUAGCGAGGGUUUGCGUCGGGCAGUGAUGAACACCGACGAACUCGACAAAGUCCUAAUGCAGAUCUGAGAAAGGGAACGAGAGGAACUCACGGAUGCAGACGAGCUGCGGAGGAGCGCCGUCGAUCUUUGGUCAGAGUCAGGUUGAUGCAGCGGCCUGAGUCAGUGAAGACGAGGGGUUCGACGGUGGCGGCGGCAGAGCUCGGAAGGAGGCAAGAGGAAGAAGACGACUGAGGGAAAUACCUAGGUCGCCCUAUUUAUAAGAGAAUACUGAUCGAGAGGGCGCAAAAAACGAGGAGAUAACAUUUAUUAUCCAGCGGCUCUGGCGCCUCGAUUCUCGGGAUGGUCAGUAAAGACAAAGAUCCGUUGAAGAUAUGACGGAAUAAAAAUAAAGUUUUAUUGAAGAUGACGUCAUGAUGAUUUAACCCAGAUCCAGAUGAUGAUGUCACGGCGGGUUAAAAUUCUUCGCGCAAGACAAAAGACUGCAGGAAAAUUCAUAAGGUAUUUUAAGAUUGACAUGAACAGGUUCAAAUCAAUCUGGGGCCUAAUGUUGGGGAUAUAACUAUUUGUGUAAGCCGCCCAGGAGGGGCCGGGUUAUGCAAAGAGGAUUCACCAGAGAGAAGCCCAAGACCAAGGCAUGAAGAUGGCGGUUCAUAGGAAGCAUAAGGCCCACAGGCGACUUAAGGCCCGUUAUAAUAAACCGCUAUAAUAAUAUUACUUGUAUCAUAAGGUAGACUUAACUAGUCACCGAGCCGGACAUUGUUUAUAAGUCGGCCGGGACUCUGUAAGCCGCAGGGCGCCCACCAGUGUAUAUAAGGGGACGACCCGCUGGCGGCUUAGGGCAAGAAACAACUCAUCGAGAGCCAGGCAUGGCGUAUCUCGCUCCCUGGUCAUCGAAACAUCAAUACCAACCCAACUAGACGUAGGCCUUACCUUCACCGUAAGGGGCCGAACUAGUAUAAAACCCCUCGUGUCCUUUGUCCCGAUUAACCCCUUCAAGCUUCCUAGUUCCGAUGGCUCCACAACUAAGUCCUUUCACGAGGACAUCUAACGUGACAAUUCCACGACAGAUACUACCUUGAAAGAAGAAAGGAAAUAAAAGAAAAACUAAAGUAAAUUCAAAAUAAUGAAGCUUUCUAAAAAGUAUGAAUUAGUGAUAUUGGUCUUACCCUUAAAAAAGAAAGGAAAUAAAAUAAAAAAACAAAAUCAAAACAAUGAGGUUUUAUAAGGAAUAAUAAAUUAGUGGUAUUGAUAUUACCCUUUAAGAAGAAAUAAAAUAAAUAGAGGAGAAAAUUUGCACACAAUUUAUAGGAAAUUUACAUUUUUUAACAAUAUGCAAGUAUAAACAUAUAAUACUGGAAUUUCUGCAAAAAGAAGUUUUCUAAAAAGGAAUGAAUUAGUGGAAUGAAUAUUACACUUAAAUAAUAAAUAAUAUGAAAUAAAAAUUAAAACAAAUAAUAAUAAUGAAGUUUUUUUAAGGAAGGGUCAAUUGUGGCAUUGCUUUACCGUUUAAGAAGAAAGCAAAAAGGAAAAAAAAAUCUAAUACAAACAAUGACAAAUUUGCACACGGUUUACAAAACAAAUGUGUUUCCUAUAAUAUACAAGAAUAAGCACAUAAUAGUCAAUUUCCACAACAAAAGUUAUCAUGAGAAGGAAUGAAUUAGUGACGUUGGAAAUGAUUUUUUUUUGAAAAAUGAAUAAAAUUUUCUAAAAAAGAAUGAAUAAAUGGCUUUGGUAUUACCCUUUAAGAAGAAAGAUAGUAAAAUUAAAAUAAAAUAAAAUCCAAAUAAUGAAGUUUCUAAGUAAGAAUGAGUUAGUGGCAUUGAUAUUACCACUUAAGAAGAAAUGAAAUGGCAAACAAAAUCUAAAACAAAUAAUGAGAAAAUAUGCACACUAUACACACAAAAAUUAAACUUUUUAAUAAAUAUGCAAGAAUAAGCAUAGUGGAAUUUUCACAAAAAAAUGUUACUAUGAAUGAAUGAAUUAGUGGCAGCGGUGUGACCCUUAAAGAAUAAAGAAAAUGAAAUAAAAACAAAUAAAAUAAAAAGUAAUGAAAUUUUAAAAGGAAUACUGAAUUAUUGACACUGAUAUUACCAUUUAUGAAGAAAUAAAACUAAAGAAUAAAAACUUGCACCUAACUUUAAUCUGAAAUUGCACUUUUGUAUUAGGCAAAAAGUAAUAAUACAAUAGUGCUAUUUUCGCACUUAUUAAAUAUUCCGCCGAUCCAAAAAAAGUGUCGUGGCUUUAGAUCAAUUUUAGUUCAAAUUUGAACUAAAGUCACAACACUUUUUUUGGAUCUGGUGGUGUAGUAUUUGUGUGUAUACAUUUAUACUCAUCGAACAUCCCAAAAAUACCCACAAAUAAAAAAUAUAAACCGGCUAAUAAAAAAGAAAAAAAUUAGCAAAGGUGCAUAAAAACAAAAAAGGGAUAGAGGAGAAGGUUAGGUCGUUAGACGGGCGAGAUAGGGCUCGCUUGGUCGCAAUAGGUAAUGGGUCUCAGCCCGUUAAUGAAUUGACUGAUCCAAAACAGAGGCCAACCAAACGUUACCGGCCCAAAACAAGACACACCACACAACUAAUAUAUAGAGUCCGUUAUGAGAAAUUGCCAGACUGGUGCGCUGUCUGUGGUCACUUAGGGCAUAUGUAUAAGGAUCAUGGGGAUGGUGUUCACCCUCCGUCUUCUCUGUACUUCAAGGACCUCCGUGCAUCAUGGGCAAUGCGCAAAGGGGAAGGACCAGGGGGAGGCCGAGGCCGCCGUGGUGGAAGGAGAGGAGGACGAACGGAUCAUGCUGGUGGGCAUUCAGAGGGAAACAGGAGCAAGGGGCUGUCUGCUGGCAAAGAGGACAUGAAUACCGCAUCACUGGAUGUGGAGAUGGAAGAGGUAAACAGGAAGAAAUCUGAUCAAGUGGAUUUGGAACCCAAGAACCAGCUAGCAUUAGUUCCUCAUGUGGGUAACCCGGUUAGCCCUCCCCCGAAGAGGGAGCCGAAGAGAUCGUGCAAUGAUGGCAAGGAAGGCAAGGGUAGUGCUUCAAGCAUCGCAAAACCAGAGUUGGCGGGCUCCCUGGAGGAGCGCCGCCGAGCACAAUGAGUGCCCUAUGUUGGAACUGCCGCGGCGUGGGCAAAGCCGCGACAGUUCGAGAGCUUCGCGACCUCGCGAGGAAAUUUGCCCCUGCCGUGCUUUGUAUUGUCGAAACCCAAAUAAAUGGUGCACGUGUAGAAAUGCUAGCUGGUACUCUUGGUUAUGAUAGAGCUUAUGCUAUUAAUAGUAGUGGUAGGAGUGGAGGCAUUGGUAUUUUUUGGAAUAACACAGUGGAUGUUGAAAUCUAGGGUGAUUCGGUGUACCAUAUUGAUGCUAAGAUAACUGAAUCAGGUACCGAUCCGUGGAGGCUGUCCUGCUUUUAUGGAGAGGCUCAGACACAGUUGAGGCACCAAACAUGGGACCUCAUGAGAGGUAUUUGCAGUCUGAGCGCCCUGCCAUGGUUAUGUAUAGGCGAUUUUAAUGAGGUUUUAUGUCCGGAAGAACAUCAAGGAGUUGCAAACCGAAGUAAUGCACAGAUACAAGGGUUUAGAGACGCUGUUGAUGAUUGCAUGCUUAUGGACGUUGGCUAUCAAGGGAGGUUUUGGACCUUUGAGAAAAAAGUCACCGGAGGAACUUAUACUCGGGUGCGACUGGAUCGGGCACUAGCAAACGCGGACUGGAUGUCCAGGUUCCCAAUGGAAGAAGUGACAUAUCUAACUGCUGCUACUUCUAAUCAUGGCCCAAUAUUGUUGCGUACAGAGGGCGGACAGAGCCAAGGAGCACCGAAGAGAAGCUUCAAGUAUGAAACAAUUUGGGAAACGCAUGAGGCCUGGAAAGAGAGCAUAACAACAAUGUGGGGCGCGGGGGAACCGGCGACAAAUAUUGAGUCUUUGAAGAAUAAGUUGGCUGCAGUUUCUCAAGAUCUGGACGGUGGAAUUUUAAUACUUUCGGUAGUGUCAGAAAGGAGAUAAAGCGUAUCAAAACUGAACUUGAGCAGUUGAGGAAUGACCCUUUGCGUGACAGACCAAGCCAUCGAGAGCUGAAAAUGAAUGAGAAGUUGGUAGAACUGUAUCACCGUGAGGAGCUUAUGUGGAGGCAGAGGGCCAGGCUAGAGUGGCUAACCGCAGGGGACAGGAACACCAAAAUUUUCCAUAUGAGGGCUAGUAUCAGGAGGAGAAAGAACAUGCUUAAAGCCCUCUCAAAUGCUUUCAGGGUACAGGUUGAUGACCCAACGCAGCUCAAGGCUAUGGUCCAAGAAUUUUAUGAAAAUCUAUAUACUACUGAAGGGGUGCAGGACAUAGAAGAGGUGACGAACCAUGUACCUUCCAAGGUAACUCCAGAGAUGAAUGCAAUCUUGUGUGCUCCCUACACACGAGAGGAGGUGAAAGUUACUCUCUUCCAGAUGUUUCUGACAAAGGCGCCUGGGCCCGAUGAAUUUCCAGCUCAUUUCUACCAGAGGCACUCGGACAUCUGUGGAGAUGAAGUAACCACUGUUGUGCUCCGGAUUGUCAAGGGGGAGGAGAGUGUUGAAGCUAUUAAUGAGACUGUGCUAGUCCUGAUCCCUAAAAUAGCAAGCCCGACAUUUAUGUCCCAAUUCAAGCCAAUAAGUUUGUGCAACGUUCUUUACAAAAUAGCUUCUAAGGUGAUAGCUAACAGACUGAAACAGAUUUUGCCUGAUAUUAUCUCCCAGGAACAAUCAGCCUUUGUGCCGGGCAGGCUCAUCACCGACAACAUCAUAUGCGCUUAUGAGUGCCUUCACUUCAUGAAGAGAAACAGGUCGAAGAGCAAUAGCUUUUGUGCACUCAAACUUGACAUGAUGAAGGCCUAUGACAGGUUGGAGUGGCCAUAUUUGCAGGCCAUAAUGGUUAAACUGGGUUUUGACCAGUCAUGGAUUAACACGGUGAUGGGUAUGAUUAACUCCGUAUCAUUCUCUGUUUUAUUUAAUGGAGAGAGGUUAGAACAGUUUAAACCUACAAGAGGUAUUAGAUAGGGAGAUCCCAUUUCCCCUUAUCUCUUUUUGAUUGCACCAGAGGGCCUUUCGUGCCUUUUAAAAUCUCGUUCUUAGUCAUCAGCUCUUCAAGGCAUUAAGGUGGCACCUACAGCUCCGGCAGUAAACCACCUAUUGUUCGCAGAUGACAGCCUGUUGCUCUUCGAAUCGAGUAUCAAGGGUGCUAAUGAAGUAUCAAACCUGCUUAAUGCUUAUUGUGCCGCCUCAGGGCAGAGAAUCAAUAAUGAGAAAUCUUCAAUAUUUUUAGCUCAGGUUGUCCUCAAGCAAUGAAAGAAGGCAUUAUGAACUCUUUGAAUGUACACAAUGAAUCCCUCAGUGACUAAUACCUGGGAAUGCCUACAAAUGUUGGUCAAUCAGUCAAUGGAACAUUUAGAUAUCUUCGGGACAGAGUUUGGGAGAAAGUCAGAGGGUGAUGGAGAAGUUAUUAUCUGCGGCCGGAAAAGAAGUCUUAAUUAAGAGUGUAGCUCAAGCUAUCCCUGUUUACUCUAUGGCUUGUUUCAGAUUGCCAAGAAGCCUUUGUGACAUCAUUACUUCGAUCAUUCGUCAAUUUUGGUGGGGAAGUAAGCGUGGAAAACAGAAACCCUGCUGGGUAUCAUGGGAUGUUAUGACUCUCCUCAAAUGCCUUGGGGGCAUGGGAUUCAGAGAUAUAGAGGCGUUCAACCAGGCAUUGCUCUCCCGUCAGGCUUGGAGGAUUUUAGAAGACCCGCUAACGCUUAGCUCAAGAAUUCUCAAGGCAGUAUAUUUCCCUUCGGGCUCUUUUUUGGAUGCUGAACUUGGGCCUCACCCAUCAUGGAUCUGGUGGUCACUUCUUGAUGGCAGAGAGAUCCUCAGGCAGGGUCUUAUUAGGAGUAUUGGAGAUGGUAAAUCCACGCAUAUUUGGACAACAAACUGGAUACCGAGGACAUGUUUGAAGCGGCCGAUACAGUCUCUUAUUCAGGAACCACCGACAAUGGUCUCAGAGCUCAUUGAUGUUACAACUGCAACAUGGAAUGCCGAACUGGUUCGCUCGGUAUUUACAGCAUAUGAUGCAGAGCCGAGUCUCCAAAUUCCACUCUGUACUCGGCAGAUUGAGGAUUUUUGGGCUUGGCAUGAGGAUACGAAAGGGAUCUUCUCAGUGAGGUCAUGUUACCGUAUGAUAAUCAACACAAAACUGUCCAGAGAAGGCUGGCUGGAAGAAAAUGCAGGGCGGUCGAGUACCGACGUGGAAGGUAAAGCAUGGUCCUCGCUUUGGCAUCUACGGGUUCCUUCAAAACUGAAAGUUUUUCCGUGGAGGUUGGCGCAACAAUCGUUGCCAACUGGAGACCUGUUAAACCACAGAAAUAUGGUAACUACCAGUGUGUGCGGUAUGUGUGGUGCUGAGGAUAGCUGGCGCCACUCUCUGAUGCAAUGCAACAUGUCUAGAUGUGUUUGGGCCCUAGCAAAAGAAGAGAUGGUGCAUCACAUGCUAUGUACCAAAGAAUCUGAUGCGAAGUCCUGGUUGUUCACCAUGCAUGAUAGCCUGACAUGGGAUGAGUUCACUACAAUGGUAGUUACUCUGUGGGAAAUCUGGAGUGCUCGGAGGAAGGCGAUACACGAAUCCAUAUUCCAAAGUCCACAUUCCAUCCAUGGGUUCGUUUCCUCGUAUCUCUCGGAGAUUAAGGUACUUCAGCCAACUAGUGCAAUCAAGCCUCCAAGAUCAGCUCCCAGUCUACGGCAUUGGAUCCCUCCACCCGAUGGGAUGUUCAAAAUCAAUGUUGAUGCAGCAGUGUCGCGGCAUGGCAGUUUUGGAGCACUUGCAGCUAUUUGCAGGAGCGGAGAUGGCUUUUUCCAGGGAGCUUCGGCAGUAUAUUUCAACAAUAUUAGCGAUCCCGCCACCCUCAAGGCGCUUGCCACCAGAGAAGCCCUUGCCUUGGCGGAGGACCUCUACAUUCAAAAGAUUUCAGUUGCUUCCGAUUGCUUGGAAUUAGUGGAAGCCAUCAACAAGGGGUCGUCUUCAGUCUACAGCGCCAUUCUAAAUGAGAUAAAGGACCGCUCUUUGGCCUUUUCACAUGCUACUUUUCAGCACGAAAAUAGAACUUCGAAUACCGAAGCGCACAAUCUAGCAAAGCACGCACUUUCUCUAGGGGCUGGCCACCAUGCUUGGUUAGGUCAGCCCGGUGAUCUUAACUUCGUCCCUGUAAACAAUGUGACGGAUGAAUAAAGCUUUGUAUGAUUGCCUCAAAAAAACUAAUAAAAGAGCAUCACCUCAGAAAAAAAAGUCAAUUACGCCAGUGAUGCUUGAACUUGGCACGAAAAGUCACUUUAGUGCUAAAACUUGCGGUAUACAUUGAACUGGUGCAACGACUUGGCUUAGGCAUGCAAAUACGGUGCAAAAUGCAACUGUAUAUGCCCACGGGGCUGACUAGGCAUGAAAGCAUGGCGUGGGUCCACUGUCAGCGACCCAAUAUUGGAGACUUUUGGCCCGCUUCUUUGCAAAAACACCCUCAACAUUUCUCUCCUCACAAAAAAGCCAAUGACAUGGGUAAAAAUAAUUAGUUGUCUCAGCAUCCUACAUACAUUAUAUGAGAAAAAGCAAAAUUGGUCAACUGCAGACUAAAUCCGAGGACCUGUUGGUACAGGGCGUGUGCAACUAGCCACCCCAACCUUGGGAAUUUGUUGUCUCAUAUGAAUACAUAUCUUUUAUACAAUUUUCCUUAAAGAAUGUAAAUUAAGAUUUUUGAUACGUACAAGUUUAAAAAGAUGGCUUAGGAACUCGAACUAGCGACCACAUAAAGACCUGUAACCAAUCCUUCCACUCCAAUUAGAAAAUUUUCAUCUAAUUUCAUAAAAUACUCAAUUGUUAAUUUUAUACUAUAAAUAUUAAAUAAGGAAAUAUAGAAAUAUUUGUAUAAGUCAUUUAAACAAGUUUGUACAUAUUCAAAUAAAUGCUCAUAUAAGUAAAACAAAUCACAAUUUUACUAAAACUAGUCAUCCUUUAGGAAAAAAAUAUGUUGGUUCAAGAAGUUGUUUUAAUAAAGAUUGUGUGUUUUCUAAAAAAAACAUGUAUUAACACACAAAUAGAAAAAUAUAUACUGGUGGGAUAUAUCCGCGUGUUAUAAAUAUUAUAUACAUAACAAUGAAAUAACUUACUCAAAAAUUGUCAAGUAUUAUUUUGAAAUAUUCAUGUACUUAGUUUAUGAAUUAUAAUUUUUUUUGUAUAAUUAAAGAAUACGAAUAUUUCUUAAAUUAUAAUUCAUAAUAAUAAUUAUUAUUAAUUAUAGAAACGUUUAAACAAUUAUACACAUAAUUUUACAACUCAUAGGUAUGUUGUUUAAAAUAAUGUCUGUAUAAUAAGAAAUACUCAUAAUUUAGACAAUAAAGUGUUGAUAUGAAUAUUCAAUAGUGGUAAUACUUAAGUUAUGUAAAAAAAUUAUAUAGGUCACAAGUGAAAAUUAUACAGAAGUUGAUGGUCAUAAAUAUUUAGUAAACGUUUGUAUUCAAUUUUUUAUAUAAUUUAAAUAUGAGCCACGAGUGUACAAAAAUGUUUGUAUUCAUUAAACAUUUUGAAUGCUUUUAUUUACUAACCAUAGAUUUUCUUGUAUAAUAUUUAUAGCAUAGUAAUAUUUGAACAUUAUUUUAUUUCUUACUACAUGUAUGUUGCGAAUAUCAUAAAAACAAUUACCGCGUACAAAAUGAGCCGCACUAACUGUAGUCCAUGCCCAGUGAGUGUCAUUGUCAUAAGAUAUUUAGGCUAGCUAUCCAAUACGUCCGUGGAAAAUGUUGUGGCUGCAGUGGCUAGUACCUUGCGUGUGCAUGCUGCAGUUCUUUUGUUCGACAGAGUGCAGGACUAAUUUUUGUGAUUAUUUACACUUUGUACUACUGACAGGGGGGACCCAGCUCGCUGGGGCUUUCUUGUGAAAAAAAAUCCAAGGGUAAUUUUGCAAAUUAACAGGGCACACGCCCUGCAUCUUGCGUCCUGACAGUAAACCCAUGCCAUCCUGUCACGCCUAGUCAGCCCUGUGGGCGUAUUCAAUUGCAUUUUGCACCNNNNNNNNNNNNNNNNNNNNNNNNNNNNNNNNNNNNNNNNNNNNNNNNNNNNNNNNNNNNNNNNNNNNNNNNNNNNNNNNNNNNNNNNNNNNNNNNNNNNNNNNNNNNNNNNNNNNNNNNNNNNNNNNNNNNNNNNNNNNNNNNNNNNNNNNNNNNNNNNNNNNNNNNNNNNNNNNNNNNNNNNNNNNNNNNNNNNNNNNNNNNNNNNNNNNNNNNNNNNNNNNNNNNNNNNNNNNNNNNNNNNNNNNNNNNNNNNNNNNNNNNNNNNNNNNNNNNNNNNNNNNNNNNNNNNNNNNNNNNNNNNNNNNNNNNNNNNNNNNNNNNNNNNNNNNNNNNNNNNNNNNNNNNNNNNNNNNNNNNNNNNNNNNNNNNNNNNNNNNNNNNNNNNNNNNNNNNNNNNNNNNNNNNNNNNNNNNNNNNNNNNNNNNNNNNNNNNNNNNNNNNNNNNNNNNNNNNNNNNNNNNNNNNNNNNNNNNNNNNNNNNNNNNNNNNNNNNNNNNNNNNNNNNNNNNNNNNNNNNNNNNNNNNNNNNNNNNNNNNNNNNNNNNNNNNNNNNNNNNNNNNNNNNNNNNNNNNNNNNNNNNNNNNNNNNNNNNNNNNNNNNNNNNNNNNNNNNNNNNNNNNNNNNNNNNNNNNNNNNNNNNNNNNNNNNNNNNNNNNNNNNNNNNNNNNNNNNNNNNNNNNNNNNNNNNNNNNNNNNNNNNNNNNNNNNNNNNNNNNNNNNNNNNNNNNNNNNNNNNNNNNNNNNNNNNNNNNNNNNNNNNNNNNNNNNNNNNNNNNNNNNNNNNNNNNNNNNNNNNNNNNNNNNNNNNNNNNNNNNNNNNNNNNNNNNNNNNNNNNNNNNNNNNNNNNNNNNNNNNNNNNNNNNNNNNNNNNNNNNNNNNNNNNNNNNNNNNNNNNNNNNNNNNNNNNNNNNNNNNNNNNNNNNNNNNNNNNNNNNNNNNNNNNNNNNNNNNNNNNNNNNNNNNNNNNNNNNNNNNNNNNNNNNNNNNNNNNNNNNNNNNNNNNNNNNNNNNNNNNNNNNNNNNNNNNNNNNNNNNNNNNNNNNNNNNNNNNNNNNNNNNNNNNNNNNCUAAUAGGUAUACCCAUCUGUUAGACCGAUGACUAACUUGCAUCCAUGUCAAAGCAAUUGGAAAACAUUUUCUCAGCCAAAAGCCAGGCCAAAGUAGACACAUUUUACUAAGCUUUUAGAGUGACAAUUAUCUUACAACAUUAAAAGGAAGAAGAAACAUACAACAUAGGGAGACAUAGCUAGGGCGAUGGAACACACGACACGAAGAAAAAGUACAAUGAUGGUAGUAUAAACACAGUUGACUGCGCAUACAAAGCUUGAUUCAUGAACUAAGUUUUUGUCUCUUCAAAAUAUGCACUGGAAGAAGAAGGUAAGCUUUCCAAAUCAUACAUUGGGAGAAAAAAAUGCAAGCUGUAUUUGUAUAGUUGGUCUGCUGUAGAAACGAAUGAAUACUGAAAAUGACAACUCACAACACCACCUUGCAUUGUCCUAUUGACAUGAUAAGCAUUUUAACACAGCUAAAAUAUGAGAGUACAACCUUUACAUCUUUCAUAUGAAUAAAAUCUGGCCCAAGCUCAAUCCAAAAAUAAGCAGCAGAUGAAGAGGGCCAUUAAAAUGCAUCGUGUUGUUCAGCUUCAGUAAGAAAAAGAAGAUUGUUAAUACCUUGCAAUUGCUUGCAUUUUUCACCCCAUAAGGGUCUCAUUAUGUAAGUUAAUAGUAUGUCAUCCAAAUUCAUCGUAGCUUGAUGCAUCCAUACAAUAAAUAUGAGAAGGGGUUAAACCAUAUCUCUAGUAUUGAUGCCUACAUACAACAAAUAUGAUAACGGGGUAAACACAUAUUAUUUAGUCUUGACGCCUCCGUAGAACAAAUAUUAGAAGGAUUCCGAUAAAAAACUUUAACGUUGACAUGAUUUGCUGCCAUAGGCGAUGGUGGCAGAGCUAGUGGUGGCGCGUGCUGCUGUCAUCCAAUGUAGAUCAGCCAUCAGGUGCCACUUGUGAGGAUGGUGCGGGGGCCUCUGGAGUGUCCCGGACUCGGAAUUUUUGCGAUGUCGCUGUCCUUCCUCCCUUUCAAAGACUUUGUGAUGUGACGAGCAUCUCUUGUGCGUAUGUAGCUGCAAUGACUGUGGAAAGUGGAAGAGACAAUAAAUGAUGACUUUUAUUGGGUGCUUCAAUUACCUGGUCUCGAGUUUCGGGGUGAAACCUAUAGGUGUGACCUUAGUUUCUUAUACUCCACAAUGGCGAUGUUCUGUGCACCAUUAACUUAGCGCAUGAAUUGCUCGAAGUUUGUUGAGACUUGAUAUCCGGAGUGAAAACCUACCAUUUGGCCUUCAAUUGUUGGACCUGGCCAUGGUGGCGCUUACGCACCAUUCCCUUACCGCAUGCGUCCCUUUUGGAGAAGCCCUUCAACUGUAGCCGUGACUCUCCUAGGUCCUCAAGGUGCACAGUGAUCACAUGGCUUGCUGGUGAUUUAUUGUCUUCAUCCUGUCGGUGUUGGAGUUCCUUUCGACGGAUCGAACACUACUAAAUCCGCUACUUGUCGAUCUGAUCUUGUGGAUGGGUGCUAAAUUCUAGUGGCUGCUUAUUGUGUUAGUUAUUCUAUAGUUUGAAGCAUUGUAUCUUUUAUGUUGUCAAUUUUGAUUAAAAACUACAUGUCAUUAAAAAAAUAUAGGAUAGACUAGAUCAUACAGGUUACUCCAAGGCACUUCAAUAAUUUUGCUUGAAAUUGAGUUGACAUGGGAAAUAGUUCUUCUGCUGUCACUUAAACUAUUGAUACUACCUUGAAAGAAGAAAGGAAAUAAAAGAAAAAGUAAAGUAAAUUCAAAAUAAUGAAGCUUUCUAAAAACUAUGAAUUAGUGAUAUUGGUCUUACCCUUAAAAAAGAAAGGAAAUAAAAUAAAAAAACAAAAUCAAAACAAUGAAGUUUUAUAAGGAAUAAUAAAUUAGUGGUAUUGAUAUUACCCUUUAAGGAGAAAUAAAAUAAAUAAAGGAGAAAAUUUGCAUACAAUUUAUAGGAAAUUUACGUUUUUUAACAAUAUACAAGUAUAAACAUAUAUACUGGAAUUUCUGCAAAAAGAAAUUUUCUAAAAAGGAAUGAAUUAGUGGAAUGAAUAUUACACUUAAAUAAUAAAUAAUAUGAAAUAAAAUUAAAACAAAUAAUAAUAAUAAAGUUUUUUUAAGGAAGGGUCAAUUGUGGCAUUGUUUUACCGUUUAAGAAGAAAGAAAAAAGGAAAAAAAUCUAAUACAAACAAUGACAAAUUUGCACACGGUUUACAAAACAAAUGUGUUUCCUAUAAUAUACAAGAAUAAGCACAUAAUGUUAUCAUCAGAAGGAAUGAAUUAGUGACGUUGGAAAUGAAUUUUUUUUAAAAAUGAAUAAAAUUUUCUAAAAAAGAAUGAAUAAAUGGUUUUGGUAUUACCCUUUAAGAAGAAAGAUAAUGAAAUUAAAAUAAAAUAAAAUCCAAAUAAUGAAGUUUCUAAGUAAGAAUGAGUUAGUGGCAUUGAUAUUACCACUUAAGAAGAAAUGAAAUGGCAAACAAAAUCUAAAACAAAUAAUGAGAAAAUAUGCACACUAUACACACAAAAAUUAAACUUUUUAAUAAAUAUGCAAGAAUAAGCAUAGUGGAAUUUUCACAAAAAAAUGUUACUAUGAAUGAAUGAAUUAGUGGCAGCGGUGUGACCAUUAAAGAAUAAAGAAAAUGAAAUAAAAACAAAUAAAAUAAAAAGUAAUGAAAUUUUAAAAGGAAUACUGAAUUAUUGACACUGACAUUACCAUUUAUGAAGAAAUAAAACUAAAGAAUAAAAACUUGCACCUAACUUUAAUCUGAAAUUGCACUUUUGUAUUAGGCAAAAAGUAAUAAUACAAUAGUGCUAUUUUCACACUUAUUAAAUACUCCUCCGAUCCAAAAAAAGUGUCGUGGCUUUAGAUCAAUUUUAGUUCAAAUUUGAACUAAAGUCACAACACUUUUUUGGAUCAGGUGGUGUAGUAUUUGUGUGUAUACAUUUAUACUCAUCGAACAUCCCAAAAAUACCCACAAAUAAAAAAUAUAAACCGGCUAAUAAAAAAGAAAAAAAUAGCAAAGGUGCAUGAAAACAAAAAAAAGGGAUAGAGGAGAAGGUUAGGUCGUUAGACGGGCGAGAUAGGGCUCGCUUGGUCGCAAUAGGUAAUGGGUCUCAGCCCGUUAAUGAAUUGACUGAUCCAAAACAGAGGCCAACCAAACGUUACCGGCCCAAAACAAGACACACCACACAACUAAUAUAUAGAGUCCGUUAUGAGAAAUUGCCAGACUGGUGCGCUGUCUGUGGUCACUUAGGGCAUAUGUAUAAGGAGCAUGGGGAUGGUGUUCACCCUCCGUCUUCUCUGUACUUCAAGGACCUUCGUGCAUCAUGGGCAAUGCGCACAGGGGAAGGACCAGGGGGAGGCCGAGGCCGCCGUGGUGGAAGGAGAGGAGGACGAACGGAUCAUGCUGGUGGGCGUUCAGAGGGAAACAGGAGCAAGGGGCUGUCUGUUGGCGAAGAGGACAUGAAUACCGCAUCACUGGAUGUGGAGAUGGAAGAGGUAAACAGGAAGAAAUCUGAUCGAGUGGAUUUGGAACCCAAGAAUUAGCUAGCAUUGGUUCCUCAUGUGGGUAACCCGGUUAGCCCUCCCCCGAAGAGGGAGCCAAAGAGAUCGUGCAAUGAUGGCAAGGAAGGCAAGGGUAGUGCUUCAAGCAUCGCAAAACCAGAGUUGGCGGGCUCCCUGGAGGAGCGCCGCCGAGCACAAUGAGUGCCCUAUGUUGGAACUGCCGCGGCGUGGGCAAAGCCGCGACAGUUCGAGAGCUUCGCGACCUCGCGAGGAAAUUUUCCCCUACCGUGCUUUGUAUUGUCGAAACCCAAAUAAAUGGUGCACGUGUAGAAAUGCUAGCUAGUACUCUUGGUUAUGAUAGAGCUUAUGCUAUUAAUAGUAGUGGUAGGAGUGGAGGCAUUGGUAUUUUUUGGAAUAACACAGUGGAUGUUGAAAUCUAGGGUGAUUCGGUGUACCAUAUUGAUGCUAAGAUAACUGAAUCAGGUACCGAUCCGUGGAGGCUGUCCUGCUUUUAUGGAGAGGCUCAGACACAGUCGAGGCACCAAACAUGGGACCUCAUGAGAGGUAUUUGCAGUCUGAGCGCCCUGCCAUGGUUAUGUAUAGGCGAUUUUAAUGAGGUUUUACGUCCAGAAGAACAUCAAGGAGUUGCAAACCGGAGUAAUGCAUAGAUACAAGGGUUUAGAGACGCUGUUGAUGAUUGCAUGCUUAUGGACGUUGGCUAUCAAGGGAGGUUUUGGACCUUUGAGAAAAAAGUCACCGGAGGAACUUAUACUCGGGUGCGACUGGAUCGGGCACUAGCAAACGCGGACUGGAUGUCUAGGUUCGCAAUGGAAGAAGUGACACAUCUAACUGCUGCUACUUCUGAUCAUGGCCCAAUAUUGUUGCGUACAGAGGGCGGACAGAGCCAAGGAGCACCGAAGAGAAGCUUCAAGUAUGAAACAAUNNNNNNNNNNGCCAAUAAGUUUGUGCAACGUUCUUUACAAAAUAGCUUCUAAGGUGAUAGCUAACAGACUGAAACAGAUUUUGCCUGAUAUUAUCUCCCAGGAACAAUCAGCCUUUGUGCCGGGCAGGCUCAUCACCGACAACAUCAUAUGCGCUUAUGAGUGCCUUCACUUCAUGAAGAGAAACAGGUCGAAGAGCAAUAGCUUUUGUGCACUCAAACUUGACAUGAUGAAGGCCUAUGACAGGUUGGAGUGGCCAUAUUUGCAGGCCAUAAUGGUUAAACUGGGUUUUGACCAGUCAUGGAUUAACACGGUGAUGGGUAUGAUUAACUCCGUAUCAUUCUCUGUUUUAUUUAAUGGAGAGAGGUUAGAACAGUUUAAACCUACAAGAGGUAUUAGAUAGGGAGAUCCCAUUUCCCCUUAUCUCUUUUUGAUUGCACCAGAGGGCCUUUCGUGCCUUUUAAAAUCUCGUUCUUAGUCAUCAGCUCUUCAAGGCAUUAAGGUGGCACCUACAGCUCCGGCAGUAAACCACCUAUUGUUCGCAGAUGACAGCCUGUUGCUCUUCGAAUCGAGUAUCAAGGGUGCUAAUGAAGUAUCAAACCUGCUUAAUGCUUAUUGUGCCGCCUCAGGGCAGAGAAUCAAUAAUGAGAAAUCUUCAAUAUUUUUAGCUCAGGUUGUCCUCAAGCAAUGAAAGAAGGCAUUAUGAACUCUUUGAAUGUACACAAUGAAUCCCUCAGUGACUAAUACCUGGGAAUGCCUACAAAUGUUGGUCAAUCAGUCAAUGGAACAUUUAGAUAUCUUCGGGACAGAGUUUGGGAGAAAGUCAGAGGGUGAUGGAGAAGUUAUUAUCUGCGGCCGGAAAAGAAGUCUUAAUUAAGAGUGUAGCUCAAGCUAUCCCUGUUUACUCUAUGGCUUGUUUCAGAUUGCCAAGAAGCCUUUGUGACAUCAUUACUUCGAUCAUUCGUCAAUUUUGGUGGGGAAGUAAGCGUGGAAAACAGAAACCCUGCUGGGUAUCAUGGGAUGUUAUGACUCUCCNNNNNNNNNNUUUUCCUUAAAGAAUGUAAAUUAAGAUUUUUGAUACGUACAAGUUUAAAAAGAUGGCUUAGGAACUCGAACUAGCGACCACAUAAAGACCUGUAACCAAUCCUUCCACUCCAAUUAGAAAAUUUUCAUCUAAUUUCAUAAAAUACUCAAUUGUUAAUUUUAUACUAUAAAUAUUAAAUAAGGAAAUAUAGAAAUAUUUGUAUAAGUCAUUUAAACAAGUUUGUACAUAUUCAAAUAAAUGCUCAUAUAAGUAAAACAAAUCACAAUUUUACUAAAACUAGUCAUCCUUUAGGAAAAAAAUAUGUUGGUUCAAGAAGUUGUUUUAAUAAAGAUUGUGUGUUUUCUAAAAAAAACAUGUAUUAACACACAAAUAGAAAAAUAUAUACUGGUGGGAUAUAUCCGCGUGUUAUAAAUAUUAUAUACAUAACAAUGAAAUAACUUACUCAAAAAUUGUCAAGUAUUAUUUUGAAAUAUUCAUGUACUUAGUUUAUGAAUUAUAAUUUUUUUUGUAUAAUUAAAGAAUACGAAUAUUUCUUAAAUUAUAAUUCAUAAUAAUAAUUAUUAUUAAUUAUAGAAACGUUUAAACAAUUAUACACAUAAUUUUACAACUCAUAGGUAUGUNNNNNNNNNNAAAAAAAUUAUAUAGGUCACAAGUGAAAAUUAUACAGAAGUUGAUGGUCAUAAAUAUUUAGUAAACGUUUGUAUUCAAUUUUUUAUAUAAUUUAAAUAUGAGCCACGAGUGUACAAAAAUGUUUGUAUUCAUUAAACAUUUUGAAUGCUUUUAUUUACUAACCAUAGAUUUUCUUGUAUAAUAUUUAUAGCAUAGUAAUAUUUGAACAUUAUUUUAUUUCUUACUACAUGUAUGUUGCGAAUAUCAUAAAAACAAUUACCGCGUACAAAAUGAGCCGCACUAACUGUAGUCCAUGCCCAGUGAGUGUCAUUGUCAUAAGAUAUUUAGGCUAGCUAUCCAAUACGUCCGUGGAAAAUGUUGUGGCUGCAGUGGCUAGUACCUUGCGUGUGCAUGCUGCAGUUCUUUUGUUCGACAGAGUGCAGGACUAAUUUUUGUGAUUAUUUACACUUUGUACUACUGACAGGGGGGACCCAGCUCGCUGGGGCUUUCUUGUGAAAAAAAAUCCAAGGGUAAUUUUGCAAAUUAACAGGGCACACGCCCUGCAUCUUGCGUCCUGACAGUAAACCCAUGCCAUCCUGUCACGCCUAGUCAGCCCUGUGGGCGUAUUCAAUUGCAUUUUGCACCNNNNNNNNNNCUAAUAGGUAUACCCAUCUGUUAGACCGAUGACUAACUUGCAUCCAUGUCAAAGCAAUUGGAAAACAUUUUCUCAGCCAAAAGCCAGGCCAAAGUAGACACAUUUUACUAAGCUUUUAGAGUGACAAUUAUCUUACAACAUUAAAAGGAAGAAGAAACAUACAACAUAGGGAGACAUAGCUAGGGCGAUGGAACACACGACACGAAGAAAAAGUACAAUGAUGGUAGUAUAAACACAGUUGACUGCGCAUACAAAGCUUGAUUCAUGAACUAAGUUUUUGUCUCUUCAAAAUAUGCACUGGAAGAAGAAGGUAAGCUUUCCAAAUCAUACAUUGGGAGAAAAAAAUGCAAGCUGUAUUUGUAUAGUUGGUCUGCUGUAGAAACGAAUGAAUACUGAAAAUGACAACUCACAACACCACCUUGCAUUGUCCUAUUGACAUGAUAAGCAUUUUAACACAGCUAAAAUAUGAGAGUACAACCUUUACAUCUUUCAUAUGAAUAAAAUCUGGCCCAAGCUCAAUCCAAAAAUAAGCAGCAGAUGAAGAGGGCCAUUAAAAUGCAUCGUGUUGUUCAGCUUCAGUAAGAAAAAGAAGAUUGUUAAUACCUUGCAAUUGCUUGCAUUUUUCACCCCAUAAGGGUCUCAUUAUGUAAGUUAAUAGUAUGUCAUCCAAAUUCAUCGUAGCUUGAUGCAUCCAUACAAUAAAUAUGAGAAGGGGUUAAAACCAUAUCUCUAGUAUUGAUGCCUACAUACAACAAAUAUGAUAACGGGGUAAACACAUAUUAUUUAGUCUUGACGCCUCCGUAGAACAAAUAUUAGAAGGAUUCCGAUAAAAAACUUUUACGUUGACAUGAUUUGCUGCCAUAGGCGAUGGUGGCAGAGCUAGUGGUGGCGCGUGCUGCUGUCAUCCAAUGUAGAUCAGCCAUCAGGUGCCACUUGUGAGGAUGGUGCGGGGGCCUCUGGAGUGUCGCGGACUCGGAAUUUUUGCGAUGUCGCUGUCCUUCCUCCCUUUCAAAGACUUUGUGAUGUGACGAGCAUCUCUUGUGCGUAUGUAGCUGCAAUGACUGUGGAAAGUGGAAGAGACAAUAAAUGAUGACUUUUAUUGGGUGCUUCAAUUACCUGGUCUCGAGUUUCGGGGUGAAACCUAUAGGUGUGACCUUAGUUUCUUAUACUCCACAAUGGCGAUGUUCUGUGCACCAUUAACUUAGCGCAUGAAUUGCUCGAAGUUUGUUGAGACUUGAUAUCCGGAGUGAAAACCUACCAUUUGGCCUUCAAUUGUUGGACCUGGCCAUGGUGGCGCUUACGCACCAUUCCCUUACCGCAUGCGUCUCUUUUGGAGAAGCCCUUCAACUGUAGCCGUGACUCUCCUAGGUCCUCAAGGUGCACAGUGAUCACAUGGCUUGCUGGUGAUUUAUUGUCUUCAUCCUGUCGGUGUUGGAGUUCCUUUCGACGGAUCGAACACUACUAAAUCCGCUACUUGUCGAUCUGAUCUUGUGGAUGGGUGCUAAAUUCUAGUGGCUGCUUAUUGUGUUAGUUAUUCUAUAGUUUGAAGCAUUGUAUCUUUUAUGUUGUCAAUUUUGAUUAAAAACUACAUGUCAUUAAAAAAAUAUAGGAUAGACUAGAUCAUACAGGUUACUCCAAGGCACUUCAAUAAUUUUGCUUGACAUUGAGUUGACAUGGGAAAUAGUUCUUCUGCUGUCACUUAAACUAUUGAUACUACCUUGAAAGAAGAAAGGAAAUAAAA
rnacentral:lncRNA from 1 species